AAAAUAUGAUCUAAAGUAGGGCUACUAUACUAUUUAUUAGUUCGAAGACCUUCAUUCUCAUAAGUUAUUUUCAAUAAUAAAACUUCUGAAUCGACGAUAUAUACCGUUAAACAUGACUGGGAGCAUUUAAAAUUUUUAGAAAAUAAAUUUCAUAAUUUUUUAAAAUUAUAAUAAAGUCUAUGAAUGAUCAAAACCGAACGACCUCAUAAAAAUAGAAGACCAAAUUUUUUAAUUUAGACCAAAUUUUUUAAUUUAAGAUCAAAAUUAUUAAUCUUUAACUAGAUUGUGGAUAAAAUUUUCUAUAAAAAAUUCAACCGAUUUUGAUUCUUUUACACUGUUAAACUAGCAAGUAUUCAAUACCGGCCGUUAAAAUAUCAAUUUUGAGAUCUUUCGAUCGAAAGGUAAAUAAUGACGAAAAAUUAUGAAAUUUGGUUUUUAAAAGUUUCAAAUGUUUUAAAUCAUGUUUAAUGGUAUAGAUCGUCGAUUUGAAAACGCUCAAUCGAAAACAACUUACGAGUACGAAAACGAUCUUGAUCAUAAGAUAACAAUACAAGUAUUUCCAGACAAGUGAGUUCCUUUUCGGUAUUCGCCGUACCGGGCUAUCCGAACAGCAUCUAUAUUUUAUCAGAGAGCAGCUGCUUGAAACCGCCCGGGCACACGGAGCAGCGGCAGCAGGACGCCGCCAGGGUCCCCCAGCUGUCCACAGGCAGCCAUCUGAUCGUCCCCACGGCUGAGCCGCAGGAAGACGACCACCCCAGCUUCGGCGAGAAUGUUCCGAAACUCUAUCAUCUUCUCUUCAGGUGUUGGCCUGAAAUGAGAACCAUCAUGGGGAUUGAAGGAGAUGAGGUUGAUCUUGCAAGGGAUUCCCCGGACGAGUUCUAUGAGCCUCUUCGCGUCGUCGAUGCUGGAGUUUCAGAUCAAUAGAUGAAAAGGAUUAUAAUCUCUAUGAAGAUUUGGCAUUAAAAAUAUGAAACUUAGCAGUAUCUUUAUCCAAUUAUAUGACAAUUGAGAGGGUGGUAGAUAAUUCCAACAAAUGUUUUCGAGGGCUACAUUGAUGAUAUCUCUAUAGGACCGGUACUGCGAUAACCCGUGUUCUUGGUUUUGUCUCAACAGUGCUUAAUUUCUUUCUGAAUAAUUAACAAAAAGUAACUAACAAGGAUUAAAAACCAAACCUGUCAUUUACUCCCGCAAGCAUGACAUAUUCGAAUAGUACUUUAUACUUGUUCUUCAGGCGUAAUUCCUCCCGUAAGGUCUCGAGAAGCAGGCUAAGAUUAUAUUUGCGGUUAAUUGGCAUAAUCCAGUUCCUUACCUGCAUUACUAUAGCAUUUAGUUUGCAAAUAAACUGAAGGAGAGUUGCUUUGAGAAAAGAAUUCACCCCUCGACAAAAAGUUACGGUCACCUCAUCUGUCGUGGCAUUGAGACUCACAGCUAACGCACAGUUAGAUUCACGAAGGAAGCGCUUCAACUGAGGGACAAGCCCGCUGGUUGAGACGGUCACUUUUCGAGGGCUAAAAUGAAGCCCUUGCUCAUCAACCAUUAUGGCCGCCGCCUUGAUUACAUUUUCUAUGUUAUGCAAUGGUUCACCCAUACCCUGCGCAAAGUAAGAGAGUGUUUUUAGUCAGAACACAUGAUAAGCACCAUUUUGAACUAAUUCUAGAAUCCCGGAAACAAUGGUAAGCAAUUUCCUGAUUAAAAAAAAAAAAGAAGAGAGAGCCAUAUUGUCACAUGUUUCUUCAAUUAAUUCAUUAAUAGAAAUAUGAUGUUACAUCAACGGAGCAACUGACUAUCAGAAAUAGUCCAAUUUCUUGAGUAAAUGAAGGCUAAUAUCACGUUCGACAGGAAACUAACAGAAAAAAAAUAAUAAUAUCAAGCAAAUGCUAUGCUGGAAAAAAAUAUAUGUAAAUAUAUAUAUAUAUAUAUAGAGUCCGGCUACUAUGCUAUCGGUAGCACGGAGCGCUCCGUGCUACCAAGUUGUUUUCGAUGAUGCGGCUUCCAAAUCGACGAUCGGCUCCGUUAGACUUUAUCUACACUAUUGAAAGUAUUUGGAAACUAAAUUUCAGAUUUUUUCGACAUCAUUUGAUUAGUGAUCAAAAGAUCUCAAAAUUGACAAUUUUAAUGGCCGAUGUGGUGUGUUUGUGAGUUUAACGGCGUAAAACAAUCCAAAUGCGAUGAAAAUUUUAUAGAAAAUUCUUUUCACUAUUUAGAGUAAGAUCAGUAUAUCUGAUCUUGAAUUUAAAUCUUUUAUCAUCAUUUUUCAUGAGAUUUUUAUUUUCAGCCGUUCAAUUUUAGACUACUUGUUUGAUAGGUAAAUGAUAUCGAAAAAUUAUGAAAUUUAGUUUCUAAAUACUUUCAAUAGUGUCGAUCAAGUCUAACGGAGCCGAUCGUCGAUUUGGAAGCCGCAUCAUCGAAAACAACUUGGUAGUACGGAGCGCUCCGUGCUACCGAUAGUAUAGUAGCCUAGUUCUAUAUAUAUAUAUAUAUAUAUAUAUAUAUAUAUAUAGAGUUGAGCUAGAAUACUCUCAAUAGUAAACGGGACAUUUUACUAUCGAGUUGUUUUCGAUGAUAGAGCUUCCAAAUUGACGAUCGGCUCCGUUGAACAUGAUCUAUACCACUUAAAGUGUUUAGAAAUCAAAUUUCAAAUCUUUUCGACAUCAUUUGCCUAAUGAUCAAAGGGUUUCAAAAUUUGUAAUUUUAAUGGUGGAUAAGAGACGUUUUCUCGUUUAACGGUGUAAAGAUAUCCAAAUCAAUUGAAUUUUUGUUAGAAAAUUCUUUAAACUAUUUAAAACAAGAUCUAUACUCUUGAUCUUGAUUACAAGACUCCUAUCAUCAUUUUUUAAAGAAUAUUCAUUUUCAGCCAUUCAUUUUUUGUUCACUAGAUGGAUAAAAGAACAAUAUCGAAAGUGCGUGAAAUUUGAUUUCUAGGUAGUUUAAAUGGUUUAGAUCAUAUUUAACGGAGCCGAUCGUCAAUUUGGAAGCUCUAUCAUCGAAAACAACUCGAUAGUAAAACGCUCUGUUUACUAUCGAGAGUAUUCUAGCUCAACUCUAUAUAUAUAUAUAUAUAUAUAUAUAUAUAUAUAUAUAUAUAUAUAUAUAUAGGAAGAAACCCGGAAGCAUACCAUGAACACGACAUUGCAUAUAGCUCCAAAUUCACUAGAGAACAAUCGGCGAGCAAAGACGGCCUGUUCAACUAUUUCAGCUGUCGUUAAAUGUUUUCUCAAGCCCAUCCUAUAAAGUUGAAACCACGGGUUUAGCCACAGUCAGUAUAUGCUUACAAAAUCAGCAAAAUUAAUAAAAAAUUACAAAAAUAAGAAAAAUUUAGAAAGCAAACAUACCUCCCAGUGUAGCAAAACUGGCAGUUCAUGGCGCAGCCCAGUUGACUCGAAACACAAACUGUGGUCCUCCCUCUACUGCAAGGAAUGACUACUGUUUCUAUCACUGAUCCAUCUUCCAGAUUGAACAGAAUCUGCAACCUCCUGCCAAUUUGGAUAUUAAUGAGAAUAUUCACAAAAAUUUAGAGAUUUGAUAAUGGAUGGUAUUAAGUGCAAGAGUAUCGAACUAGUAAAUUACCCACAAGAAGAGUAGUAGAAACCUACCUUCCGAGUUCCGUCCGAAGCAGUAAGGAUAUCUUUCACUGAUAAUGCCUUGAGAGUAGCAUGCUCGCUUAGCAUUUGUCUAAAUUCCUUUUUCAAACCUGCAAAAGGCCAAAUCGUAGAUUUAAUAGGUAAUGCAUCGCACGCAUAUAGUAAUAUAUAGACCAUGGAGGAAACUACAAGUCCAUCCAGAAAAGCAUAAGAAUAUUCAUGAAACUUUUCUCAAGAGAGAAGGAUGCUCACAGAAUGAGUUGCGAGCAAAAUCAAAAGUUAACUUGACUGAGCCGCAUAAUUAGAGCUAACUGAGGAAUAACUUAGUUUUUCAACUGAGUUUGUCCUCUAUGAUUCAUUGAGAAGUUAUUUGUGCAAUUCCUUGAGGAAAAAAAAACCCAAUACAUUAUGCAUCAUCAAACACUGGAACAACCAAGUUGCUUUAGCCUUAUGAAAAGGUUGAUUAACGAUGGUAACACUCAUUUUGAAGCAAAGCCACGGGGUUCAAAGCUCAACCACAGUACUGAAGGUUCAGAAGAACAGAAUAUUUCAAUAUCAACAGCAGAAACAUUAUUGGAAAGCAACUUCCUGGUUAUCACUAACUUUGAAAAAGAACACUUGCUUUUAAAAUCAUUUUUAAAGCUGAUAGCAACAAUGCAAAUAGAUUGCUUCUCAAUAACGCAGCAAAAUGUUCGCACAAAUUUGAUGACUGGAAAUUAAAACAAACGACUCUACAAGUAUAGCACAUCUGAGCACGUGGUCCCAUAAACAGGCACUUCAAUUCGUAGCAAAAAUAAAAUGGAUCAAAUUUACCCAGUGCAUAGCAUACUUAACUGGUAACUCAUAAAGCGACUAUAAAUAAGGAUUGAAUUGCUUAAUCACAUCAAACACCAAGUACUUAAAUAAGGCGCGCACCGAGCAAUUCAUCAUGGGUAUGCGCCCAAGUAUUAUUCCCGUAUAGACAUUUCCACAGCAUCAUAGCUUGCCCCGACCUAAAUCCAUGCGAAUGAACCCAUUUCUGCGAAAAAAACCAAGUUAUUGGUUUAUCAAUCAAUAUCAAAUAAGUAUAAGUUAGCUAGUUCUCAAAAAUUCCCACAUAGCAUUCUUUCUUGUGAAAAAAUAUUCAUAACAUCCAAUGCUCCUAAAUUUUAGGCUUUCUCAUGCAUCACAAAAAUAGAUCCCUCUUAACCAAAUUUGAACUAAAUAAGCCAUUUUAUUCUACAGGAUACGAGCUUUACGCUUACAACCACCCACUAACUUCUAAAACCCAAUAAAAAAGUACAAUCACAAAAUCGCAAUUUGGAGAGAAAUGAAGCAAAAGGAAGAGGUAAAACCCAGUAAACUCACUUACUUCGAGCUCAGGGUACUCCAUUUCCUUCAACAAAACCUUCGAGCCCGAGCCAUCUCCUAACCCUAAAAAUCCAAACUUUACCGAACUAACCGAGACAAAUCGCAAUAAAACCCCAAAUGUAACAAACUAGGGCAUCAAAUGAAGAUCGGCGAGGGCGCAACUCACCAAUCUCCCUGCGAGUAGCCGAUGGGCGAAGUGGGCGGCUAGGGUUUCGGGAGCAGAGGCGGCGAGAAAGGAGGAAGCAACGAGAGGUAGAGGAGGAGGAGGAGGUGGAGAGAGAGAGGGGAGAGGAGAGAGAGGAGAAGCUCCAUCGAACGAGAGGAAGAGCCAUUGGCGGAGGCGACGGAGGAGGAGGAGACGAGGGGGCGCCCGGUUUUAUCUUUUCCGGUUCGCUUUUUAGGGCGUGGGCCGAUCCGGUUCGAGGGGUUCGAACGGUUCAGUUGAACCGGACUGGUGGACCGGAUCAGUUUUACUUGGUUAAUUUGGAUCGAACUAGAAGAUCGUUUGAUUCGAACCGAUUCUGUAAAUGAAAAAUUUUUUACCUCGAUUUGAAUUUGGUUUUGUUAACUAUUUUUUAAAAUCUACAUUUCAAAUUUGAAAUUCAGAGUUGAGCUAGAAAACUUCUAAAAUUACCAACACCUUAAUACUUUCACCGUUCCAUGUCCUUUUAUAAUAAUAGAAUUUUUGAAUCGACGAUUAAUAUCAUUAAACAUAAUAUAACUUUAAUGAACUUUUUGAAAACUAAAUUUCGUAUGUUUCCAACAUUAUUUAUAUAUUAUUCAAGUGACCUCAAAAUUAAUAAAUUUUUUUUUUUUUUUGAGAAAAAGGUAGCACGCUACCCGCUUCAUUCAUUAAAAAGAUGAAUUAAGCUACAAGAGUGGGGCAACACGGCCCCGAAAGAAAGACAAGGCACAAAAAAAAAAAAAAAAAAAAAAAAAAAAAAAAAAAAAAACGAGAAGAAGAAAAGAAAUGGGGUUGGGUCCGAAAUUGCUAAGUAGCUAGAAGAAGUUCCCACUCUUUCACCAGCAGGACGAGUCUCUGGGUCGCUAAACCGGGGUUCGGCAAGAUGUUCCGAAAGAUACAAUCAUUUCUGACCUUCCAGAUGCUCCACCAGCAGCCUACUAGGUCUGUAAGUCUGUUUCGCUUCUUUUGGUGGUCCUUCAAGCACCUCCACUUAUCCCACACUCGAUGGACGUCAUCCCCCAAAUCUUGAGCCUGAAUGUCGUCCACCCCUGAUACUAUCAUAAACUUGCAGAAUACACAACGGGUGAAUAGAUGAUCCACACUUUCUUCUUCCGCCCCGCAAAGCACACAACAAGGAUCGUUAAUCCACCCUCGCUUAACUAACUUAUCCCGCGUAAGGAUUCUUUUCUUGAGUACCAACCAGCUGAAUACUUUAACCUUGAGAGGAAUUUUGAGACUCCAGAUGGCGGCGGCUCGGGCAUCCCUCGUCCCACCGUCCGUCAAAGCCGUCAAAUUAAUAAAUUUUAAUAGUAUAUAUAAUGUGUAUUAACUUAGCUAUAAAAGACUUGUUAAUCAAAAUCUAUUAUACUAUAUUUUUAGGGUUUAUUUGGUUCACCUACUUUAGACUAUAAAAUUUGAACGAGAUUCGUUGAUUUUGAUAAUUGUUGUUUGUUUUACAAAAAUCGGAUUCCGACUCCUAUUCUACUCUGAAAUGAAAAUAACCUAAUUUAUUUAUUGCAUAAUCUGACCCAUUCUAAAGUAAUCCGCUCAAAAUCUUUUUUCACAAGCACCUCUCUUCUCUCCUCUCGCCACUCUCAUCUUUUUUAAUCAAAAUUUUCUCUCAAUAUUCAUUUCAAUUUCAAUUCCAAUAAUGAAUCAAAUAUUUUUGAAUGAUUCAGCAUUCUAUUUUCCAUUCCAAUAUAAUUCAAUUAUGUUUUCUAAUCCUAUUUCAAUCAUGAAUCAAACAUGAGUGUUGAAUUUGUUUGGUAUAUUUCUUUAUUAUAUAUAUAGAGUUGAGUUAGCCUGUUGUCGGUAUUAAACAGACUCCGUUGCUAGAGAUUUGUUUUCAAUAAUUAGAUCCAAAUCGACGAGUAGCACGUUUGGCAUGAUCUAGACUAUUUAAAGUAUUUAAAAACUAAAUUUCAUAUAUUUUCGAUACUAUUAACCUAAUGAUCAAAGGGUAGCAAAAUUUAUAAUUUUAACAAUCGAUACGAAACGUUUGCUCAUUUAACGGAGUAAAAAAUUCAAAUCAGUUGAAUUUUUAUUAAAAAAUUAUUUAAACUAUUUAAAACAAGAUUCACAUCCUUAAUCUUGAAUAUAAAAAUUUAAUUUGAAGGAUAUUCAUUUGCAAUCAUUCAUUUUUGCAUUCACUUGGAUGCACAAGAGAACAAGAUUGAAAAAAAUACAAAUUUUGAUUUCUAAAUACAUCAAAUAGUCUAAAUCAUAUUCAACAGUGUCCGAUCGUCGAUUUCAAAGCUUUAUCACUGAAACUAAAUUGAUAGCAAUGAACCUAUAUAUUUCUUAUAGCAUUCUAUCUCAACUCACUCUCUCUCUCUCUCUCUCUCUUUAUCGCUAAUUCCGCUAUUUGAUCACAUGGAACAUGAGAGAUUCCCCCAAGUGGGCUUUACUUUUAAUAGUUUUGACUUUGUCCAAUAUUGAUUUGAAAUUUUUAUUAUCGAAAAUUAAAUCGAUAACAAAUUAGCAAUGAAUCUGUUUAUUACUGAUAGCAUUCUAGCUCAACUCUUUCUCUCUCUCUCUUUAUCGCUAAUUCCGCUAUUUGAUCGCAUGGAACAUGAGAGAUUUCCCCAAGUGGGCUUUACUUUUAAUAGUUUUGACUUCAUCCAAUAUUGGUUCAAAGUGGCGAGUUCGGGCGAACUCUCCACUUCAUUAUUUCUUGAUAGAGAAAAGUAGAAAAUUAUCUACUUUUGUUUUUAAAAAAAAAAUUUAGUUAGAAAUAUAAAGUAAUUGAAUUUCAAAUUUGAGAUUUUCAGUACUGAACAUUAAGCUCUAAACCAACUGUAUUUGUAACGAUCCAAUCCGCUAACAACAAUAAUUCGUUAGGUCCAAACCAUCUGGUCAAAAUGCUUAAGUCUCAUAUAAAUUGAUCGGAAUCAGUAUCCCAUCCGAUGUGGGACUAUUGGGGCGUUACAAACUCCCCCUUGUUUAGAUCCCAACGAAUCACAGACAUACAGGUCAGGACCAGAAUUACCAGGCGAUGUGAAAUUCUAUAGGUAGCUCCCACCAAAUCCGUUGGUGUAGCACUUUGUCCCGUAUAGCACUUAGCUCUCACACUUCCGGCUGGUAUUCAGCUCUGAUACAAAAUGUAACCACUCGACCUGCUAACAACAAUAACUCAUUGAGCUCAAACCAUCGGCCCAAAAUGCUUAAGUCCAGUUAUUAUUACUAGCGUGUAUGACUCAUAUAAACUGGUCGAAAUCAGUAUCUCAUUCGAUGUGAAACUAUUGAGAACGUUAUAGUACUAGAUACGAUCGAUUUUAUAAAAUUUUCAAGUAUAAGACAGCGAGAUUGAUCGUAUCUAUCAUAGUUGACUAAAAAUUUACCGAUUUAUAGAAAAAAUUUGAAAUUUGAAUUAUAAUUUAAAAAAAAUAAAAAAUAAAAAAUAAAAGGGAAAGGGCAAAGGGAAAAGGGAAAAAGGACAGAGUGAGUCCAACGUGACCGUUCUUUUGUUUGCUUUUCGAAGGGCAAUACGAACAGAAGUCAAAUCAACUACUCAACCUGAUAUAUUCUAUAAUAAACUACAAAGUAAAAUAAGCUCCAUGUUCUAGAUUCUAGUACUUUUAUGAUAAGAUAAUAAUAAUAUAUUCUGAUCUUAAAAUUUAUUCUUAAAUAUUAUUAAUGAGUUCGUCAUAUGCAGUUAAUUUUUAGAUAAAUUACACUUUUGAUCUCACACUAUGCAGCGCGUCAUUAGUUCUCGCAUUUUAAAUGGUUAUAAUUUUUAGAGCGUGACACUUUAGUCAUCGAACUUCAAUAAAUUAUAAUUUUUUGCUCGAACUUUCUUAAUUUUUUCGAUUAAAUUCUACGUCCCAAUUCUUUUGAAUAAUAUUGGUGAAUUACAAACAUCGAAAUAUGCAGUCCAAGUCAAAAAUUAUAACUAGUUUAACUUUUGGAACUAAAGUGUGAAGCGUCUUACAGUUUGAGCCAGAAACUAUAACGAAUUAAAAUUUACUAAAAUGUCAUGCAACUUAUAGUUUGAGAAAAAGUGUAAUUUACUCUAACACUUUUUAGAAAUUGAAAAAACAGAAUUAUUUGAAAGUUAUCAUUGUUAAGAUUAUUAGUUUCCUAGUGCAUAGAAAUUAGUUUUUUAUCUUGUAUGUGAAAAUAAGGAGCUUUUUUUUUUUUCUCAUCUAAUAGCAUAAAAGAUUUUAGAUAUGGGCUAAUCUCAAUUCGUACCUUCCUUGUGGGUCAAUUUUAAUAGAUUUUUAUCUAGAUUUUUAUCUAGAUUUUUUUUUAAAAAUAAUUUUGUCCCAUUUAAGAUUUUGGAUUGGUACAUAUCACUUGUUAAUAGUUAUGUACAUAAAAUUAAAUUAAAUUAUCAACAAUAUUUUAAGGUACCUUCUCAAUUAAUAAACUAAUAAUAUUGAAUACGCAUGAAUGAACGGUAACAAAAAAAAAAGUAUAGAAGCAUUACUCUAUAUCUAUAUAAUAUAGGAAAAUUUUCACAUACCACCUCUGUGGUUUCACACCUUCUCACUUUAGUAUCUUGUGGUUUAAAGUAUAUCAAUUUAGUGACAUAUGGUUUUAUUUUUAUCGUUUUAUUAUCGAUUUACUAAUUUUUUUUGUUAAAUCAGUGACAAAGUUAAAAGUAAAGAGUACUAAAGUGAAUAUUUGAUAAACCUAGAUAGGGUAUCUAAAAUUUUUUGUAUAUAAUUUAACAAAAUAUUAACAAAAAAGCUGACGAAAAGAUAAAAAUGAAACCACAGAGCACAAACUUGAUACACUUUAAACCACAAAACACUAAAGUGAGAAAGUGUGAAACCACAAUAGUGGUAUUUGAAGUUUACCCCUAUAUAAAUAUAGGGAUAAUUGCCUAUAUACCUCUCAUACGUUUGAAAAUAUUUGAUUUACCCUUUUUUCUAAAAUACCCCUUAUAUGUUCCACCGUUAUUGCAAAAUACCCCUGCAGUUAUCUCCUGUUAAGUUAACUUGGGUUAAACGUGAGUUAAAUAUCUACCACAGUUAAAAAAAAUUAAAAUACUAAUUUUGCCAUUAACUUAAGAGCAAAUAAGAAAUGUUGGUGAUGGUAGAGGGGUAUAUUGGAAAAGACCAAAAUUCAAAAUACUUUUUGUGCCCCUGACUUUAAGGGCAAAUAAGAAAGACAGUAAUGGUAGAAGAGUAUAUUUGAAAGGGCAAAAUAAUAAUUUUACAGAAACAACAGAGUUAAUUAACAUAUUUUAACUCUAGAAAUAUAUUAGAAAUAGGUUGGAAAGUAAAAAAAAUAUUUUUAAUAUUAGCCUUCUAAGAGGGAUAAAUCGGAAAGUCGAAAAUUUUUUAGGGGUAUAUAAGCAAUUGCCCCUAUAAAAUAUGUAUGUUGACUGAUAUGUUAAAUUACAAAACCAUCCACAACAUUUCCCGUGAUCAAUUACUGGGUGCAGUUGCUACCUAUCUUUCCCAUUAAUUAAAAAGUUAUGUGCACAAUUUAACUAUAUCAAAGGUCAAAAGACAUGACAUUAUUUUAGUCAAAAUAGUACAAAUUUUUAAUUCAAAAAGAGUAAGGGAUCAUGCAUGAUUUUACCCAAAGCAAAGCUGUGCUUUAAUUAAUCUACAUAACUUUUUUUUGGAUUUGUUUGAGGGUUACAAGAGUCAAUGAUCAUGGAGACUUAAUUGUAGAGAGAAUAAAUAGGUGGGGGUCUCAAUUGUUUUUUUAUUAUUAUAUUUGUAGGUUCUUAUUUUAGCUCCCAUCAUAUUUUAUAUAAGUUGUACAAGAAGUAUUUAUAAGUUUAGCAGUGUAAAAUAAUUCAAAUCCAGUAAAAUUUUAAUAAAACUUUUUUUUUCAUUAUUUAGAAUAAGGUUGGUAUCUCUGAUCUGAAAUUUAACGCAUUUAUCAUUUUUUUUAUAAGAACUUUAUUUUUGUAUUCAUAUUGAGACUAUUUGUUUUAUAGAUAAAUAAUAUAAGAUAAUCUAAAAAUUAAUUUUUAAAUAUUUUUAAUAGCGUAGCUCAUAUAUAAUGAAGCCCAUCAUAGAUUGGAGUGUCUUAUCAUUAAAAAUAAUUUGAUAGCAAUAUUCAAACCUAAGUCCUCCCUCUUACUUAGAUCUGGCAAUCUCGACCCAUACCCGCGGGUGCUCGCGGGUUACCCGCAAAUUUGCGGGUAUGGAUACCAACUUUUCAAAUUCAAAAAAUUACGGAUAAAACAGGUGGGUACCCAUUAAGCUGUGGGCAUUUUGGGUAACCCGUGGGUACCCACAUAUAUUUUUUAAUUAAAAAAUAUAUUUUUUAAUUAAAAUACAUAUAUUUUUAUUUAUCCAUUCUAAAAAGUCUAAUCCUAAUUUAUUAUCGCGUCUUUUAUAUUACGAAAGCUUUUUAUUUUAAGACUUUAAAUAUUUUUAUUGUAUGUUAUAACAUUUUAAAUAAUGAAUUAUGUUAUAUUUUUAAAACUUAUAUAUAUGUAUUUGCAUUUAAAAAAUAUAAGAGAUAAAAAGAAAAAAAUUGCGGGUAACUCACAUACCCACCCGCCCACCUGCGGGCGGGUAUGGAUAAAGAUGUUGGCUACCCAAAAAUUUACAGGUAAAUUUUACCCAUGCCCAAGUAACACCGGGGUACAAUAACCCGCCCGCGGAUUACCCAACCCGCCUGUUUGCCAGGUCUACAGUCACUAUACACGCUCGUAUGAACCAUAACAUUUUUUUUUAUGAUGCCCUAUUUUUCAGAAGUCAUUUAUUCCAGGACUAUUCUAAUUCUAAUAUAUUUAACCUUCUUAAGCUCCUGAAUCUAACCAUCGUUUAAAAUACUAUAACUGGAUUAAAAAAUUAAACCCUAUUAUAUUUUAUAUAAGGGUUAAUUGCAUACAGGUCCAUACAAGCAUAGUGAGUUACAAAUAUAUCCCUAUAAAGUUCAGCUUUCAUAUGUUGUCCCUACAAAAGUUCUAAUAUUUUCAAACAUGUCCUUACCGUUAGAAUCCGUUAGGAAAAAAAUUAGUUAACCAUAAGUUAAAUACUUAAUUCUGGUUAAUUUAUGAGAUAACUUGACAUUUUUAUUCUUUUUAUAUUAUACUGUUCUGACUUUUAGAUGAACAUAUUUGUGAUGGUAAAAUUGACAUUUCACUUAAAAUAUAAAUAGUUCUUUAACGGUAAUAAAUCAGAGAAAUAUAUUUGAAAAUAUUAAAACCUUUAUAAGAACAACAUAUAAAAUUUAAACUUCAUAAAAGUAUAUUUAUAAUUCCAAUUGAGCUCCUAUGCUUUUAAAAGUACCAAGCCAUUGGUACUUGUAAGUUUUGAGCCCUUGAAUUAAGGAAUGUGCGGUUAGGAUGAUGUGGGCCUUCUAGGGUUGAGUGAGUAGUUGGUUGAAUAGUAUAAUCUAACGGUUGAAAAUAAUUAAAGACGUAGAUCUAACGGUAAAAAACUUACAAGUACCAAGUGCUUGGUGCUUUUACAAGCACUAUAGUCGGACUCUUUAUAAUUCAUUAUAUUUGUAGGAAUCUGCGUGUAUUUAAUUUUUUAUAUAAAGAACUAGUAUCACUUUUUUUUUUGGGGGGGGGGGGGGGGGGGGUNGGUGACUUUGGCUUUGGCUCUCUCACAAAACAAGCCUGAAAUAGCAUCCAAAAAGAAGUUCAGCAUGCCUUGAAAUGACACCUCCCAAAAAACCCUUCAGCAUAUCCUUGUUAUAUGCUGUAACCCUAAAAAGUAAUAUCAUAUUACCUCAGUCCUUGCAUUGUUUUUUCCAAUCAUAGGAGGGUAAAAUUCACGAUUUAUUCUGUUAAAUUUAAUAUAACAUUAUCUAAAUUAUUUAAAAAUUAAAUUCUAUAAUUUUUAAUAUUAUUUAUCUAAUAAUUAAGUCAUCUCAAAAUAAAUGGCUAAAUAUAAAAAUUUUAUUUAAAACGACGACAGAGGACUUUAAUUCUAGAUCAUAGAUAUUUACCUUCUUUUGGAUUGUAAAAAAAAAAAAAAAAAAACUCAGUCAAAAUUCCAUCCAAUUUGAAUAUUUUUAUGCUUUUAAACUUGAAAUUGUCUUGUAUUGACUAAAAAAAAAAAAAAAAAAAACUCAGUCAAAAUUCCAUCCAAUUUGAAUAUUUUUAUGCUUUUAAACUUGAAAUUGUCUUGUAUUGACUAUGAAAUAAUUAAUUUUUAUAAUUUUUUAAUUACUGAGUAAAUAAUAUCAAAAAACUAUAAAAUUAAACUUUAAAUAUUUUAAAUAGUAUAAAUUAAAUUUAAUAGAAUAAUUUAUAGAUUUUAAUAUCUAGUUAUUAAAAAAAUAAAAGCUGCUGAAGCCUCGGUAUUUUUUUUGAAAGCAUAGCAUAGCUUCAUCAGCCUCUCUCUCUAUUAAGACUUAGUUUGAUAUUAAGAUUUAUUUAAGCUAUAGAUAAUAAAACGGAGUCGGGGUAAAAAUAUAUAGGGAUAUACUUCUACUUUCUUCGAUGGGACUGCAGAAAAUAUAUCGUAACCGACUAGUCACUAUAUGUGUAACGCAAUAGUACAUACGAAAAUAAAUCAGAUAUUUUUUUAUCGUAUUUUUUCAGUAACGCAAUCUUUUUACAAUUCCAAACAAAACCUAAUACAAAGAAAGAAUUAGGAUUAUUAUACUUUUAUAAAUAUAGAUAAUUUUGUACUCAUAAGUUUUUAAUAGGAUGAUAAUAGUUUUAUAGAAUUGAAUACAUGAUUGGUUGGAUAAUAUAAUUUAAUAAAUAAAAAUAAUUAAAAAAAUAAAUUUAAUAAUAAAAAAAUUAUAAGUAGAAAAGAGAACUAUACGGAUAAAAAUAUUGUAACGGAACUCGAAUGAAAUAAUCCAAUAAGACAUGGGAAAAAGUUAGAAUAAAUAAAGAGAGAGAGAGAGAGAGAGAGAGAGAGUGUCAUGAACUCAGUAUAUGCAUAGAAUAAUGUGUGUAUGCAGAGAGAGAGAGAGAGAGAGAGAGAGAGAGAGGCCAAAGAAGUGGAGUGACACACGUAGCUUUUAGGCAACCCAUGUGCUCUCACUCACACUCACAGCGAACGUGAGAAAAAAAAACAGAGCAAAAUUUAGAGAGAGAGAGAGAGAGAGAGAGGGAGAGGGAGAGGGAGAGGAAGAAGAAGGAGAGGAGGAGGAGGAGGAGGAGGGGAUCGCACAGCGCACGGAGUGCGUUGGAGUAGAAGCGCUUCGGGGAACAGCUUGUGCCGCUGCUGCUGCUGCUGCCGCUUGCGGAAGGAGACGAGGAUGAAGGAAGGGGGAGGAGACGGGUUCGUGAGGGCGGAUCAGAUCGAUCUGAAGAGCUUGGACGAGCAGCUGGAGCGGCACCUGAGCCGAGCGUGGACGAUGGAGAAGAAGAAGGAGGAGGAGGGAGGAGGAGGAGGAGUGGUGGUGGGCGUAGGAGGAGGAGGAGGAGGAGGAGUGGGCGUAGGAGGAGGGGGAGGUGGAGGUGGAUGUGAGGUGUGCAGACGAGCGGGGCGUGGAGGGGGACGGAGAGAGGAGUGGGAGAUCGACCCUCGAAGCUCAUCAUCAAGAGCGUCAUCGCGGGGCACCUUCGACCGUCCAUCGCGGCGUCUACGACGGCCACGAACGUCGCCGGUGAUGCCCUUCUCUCCCCUCCCCCUCCCCCUCCCCCUCUCUUUGUGUGUGUGUGAGAGAGAGAGAGAGAGGGCGAGAGAGGGAGAUUCUGAAAUUUUCGAUGUGUUUGAGUCGCCAUUAGAUUCAAAUUGCAAUACCCAUUUGGUAGUAUCUCUCCGAAUUUCUAAUUUUCUCUGUUUGUUUCUAUUCCCCGUUCGGAUUAAAUUUGUAGUUAUUUUUGUGUGUUUGGGACGCCAUUAGGCUCAAAUUUGAGUAGACAUUUGGUAGUUCCUCUCCAGAAUCUAAUAUUUCUGGGUGUUUGCAACCCCGUUCGAUUCAAAUUGCAAUGCCCAUCUUAAAAUUUCUCUCCUAUUUCUGAUUUUUCUGUGUGUUUUGGUCCACAUUAGAUUCAGGUUGCAAUACCCACUUGGUGAUUUUUCUUCAAUUUCUUAUUUUUCUGAGAGUUCCCCAUUAGAUUCGAUUUUUAUACUCAUUUCGUAAUUUUGAGAAAUUUUUGGCCAUUUUGCGCAAUGUGAAAUAUUCACUUCAGGGGCAAGAAAAGUUGCAAUUUUUGGUACUUUAACUAUAUUUUCUUUCGCUUAAGUUGAUCUCGUAGUAUUAAUUCAUAAAUUUUUAUGUUCUGGGCUUAUCUUCUGCUAAUUUCUGAUUCCGUAGAAACAUGAGAUGUGCAGGGAAAAACAAAAAUAAAAUAAUAAUAAUAAUAAUAAUAAAAGAAUGAUUUAGUAAUUAUUUAAUAAUCCUGUUUCUUUACCAAACAGGAAUAGCAGCUGUAUACUUGAUUUUGUAAGUACUGCCUAAGUCUUUAUAUCUAUCUUUUGUAGUGGACAUGAAUUGAGUGCAUUAGUAGACCUUCAUAUUGGCUUUUCCAAAUUGCUUUUUUCUCUUUCUUUUUUUGAGAUAAAAAAUUUGCACCUUUUCGAUUGGUGAAAGAAUCCAAUUGCAAAUUGCUUCUUUGGCAAUGUAAAAGCCCGUGAAUCUUAUCGGCUUCUUUCUGGUGGUUGGCUUUCAUCUUAACUAAUUGCACUCCAUAGCUUUUAUUGGAUAAGGUUCCUUUUUGAACUUCCAUGUGAUCCCAUCCAACUACUGAUUAAUAAUAUGUAGGGGUGACAAUGAUGUUGAUCUUGUGAUACAUUAAUGGCGGGAGAUUUAAAGCAGUCAAAGCAAGAUAUUGCAUAAAGAUUCUAAAAGCACACAUACUUUUCUAGAGAGAGGAGUGGAGCUGAAAGAACAAAGUGAAAUAUGGAUACUCGAAAAACUUCUUUUUUUGUGGAUGUUGAUUCUUUCAAAAAAAAGAAAAAAAUGAUCAUACAAUAUUUCUAUGAUGAUACGAUAUGCUAUUAUAGUUAUAACAACAGGGAAAGAAAUAUUUGGGAUUGGCAUUUGGCAUCCGAAUUAGGCUCAAACAUCCUUUCUAGUUUAUAUCGGCAUGACCUGUUGCUAUUUGAGCUAGCUUUCUUGUUCCAAAUAAGAUCUUACACAUCUCACUCGCCGAAUAUUUCCAUUCCCUCCAGCACAAAGGAAAAGCUUUAUAUUCUUUACAUGAUCUAAGUUUAUGCCUUAUAUUAUCACGUUUCAAGUAAGUACUAAUAAUCGGCUACGUUGGAGCUUGCACUGCAUGAAUGUGUAAUUUUCAAGCAAUCUGCGGCUUCACACUUUCUUAUCUCCAGCAAAUAGACGUUGAGAUCGACUGUACAAUUAGUUCUUUUGUCCGUUUUUGUACGUACUUUUAUGGUAGCCCUCUUUCUGUAGUUGUUAUAGUUCAAUAUGGAUAUUCUGGCCUGGGGAGAAGACGUUGAAAUCUAUUUCAUAAUGCUAGCAAUCCCCCCUCUUUUUGUUUUUCAGUGAAGUUGCUUGACUGGGGAGAAGAAGGUAGCAGGUCAGAAGCUGAAAUUGCUGCACUUAGAACAGCUUUUUCUCAGGAGGUUGCUGUAUGGCAUAAGCUCGACCACCCGAAUGUAACCAAGGUAUAAUUUCACUGCAUAACUGCCUCUAUUCUGCCUAAAGAUCCAUUUGGUCGUUAAUUUGUAAACUUACAAUAUCCAAUUUCAUAUUGUUGUAUGAUAUGAAUCUUUUUUUGUACAUUAAGAACCAUCUUAGGGGAGUUAGAUGCUUUGCAAAUGGCAAAUGUUAUUUUGUUCAUCAAGUUAAUUAUUCUAAUUUUCCUAGUAGACAACUGUUCUCCCAUGUAGCUUAACUCUCUCUCCAUAUUUGGUGCAUGUUACUCAUGUGCUGCUGCAUAUUAAUUUUAUUGGAUCUUCAGAGUAUAUUGUAACGUUAACCUACUUAAUGUGUAGAACAUUAGUUUGAGCAAAAUGCACUUUAUCCUGCAGAAGUUCCUGAAUUAUUUCAUCCAGUUUUCCCAAUCAAACACCUAAUAUUCUUCUUACUUCUGAACUUCUUGCCUUACCCUUUUUUUUCUUUUUUUUUUUCUUUUGCCUGAAAUGACAAUUGUGAUCUUACUUUAACCCUUUAUUGCCAGUUUAUAGGGGCUAUAGUGGGUGCGAGAGAUUUAAAUAUUCAAACAGAGAAUGGCCAUCUUGGCAUGCCAAGUAAUAUUUGUUGUGUUGUGGUCGAAUACCUUCCGGGAGGUGCCCUGAAAACAUUUCUUAUAAAAAAUCGGAGGAGAAAAUUAGCCUUCAAAGUAGUCAUCCAACUGGCUCUUGAUCUUGCCAGAGGGUGAGUAUCAGCACUAUCCUUUUUCCAAAGUUAACUCUCGCUUGCUAUUAUUUAGUUUUUAAUCUGUUUCGGAUCGAUUGCUAUUUUAAAUAGUCCAAAUUCUUGUUUGCUGGAAGAUUAAAGUGUGCCACUUUGUCAAUAUAGAUUGAGUUAUCUCCAUUCGAAGAAGAUUGUGCAUAGAGAUGUGAAGACAGAAAAUAUGCUUCUUGAUAAAUCACGAACCGUGAAAAUUGCGGAUUUUGGUGUUGCUCGAGUUGAGGCUUCAAAUCCUCACGACAUGACAGGUGAAACAGGAACUCUUGGUUACAUGGCACCUGAGGUAUACCAUCCUUUAUAGUAUCUACAGCUUCGUUGUUUCCAUCUUUGCGUUGCCUUUUGGUUCUCAAAUUGAUUUAUGCUGAUGAUUAUUUCUUGGGGCUUUUACAUAUAGUACCCUGCCGACUUACUUUUAUGCAUAUAAAUAUAUCCCUAUAAAUUUUGAAUUUUCAUAUGUGUCCUUACAAUGGUUAAGUUUCUUACAAAAAGGAUCUCAAGUUAGGGAGCCAUUCAAUUCAUCAUGAUCAGUUGGUUUCGUAAACACAAUGAUAUUUAUGUGAGAGAUUAAGUUUUUGAAAGGAACGAAUGAACACGGAUACAUAUAUAAGUAAGUAAUUUUGGUGAGGCAUAUAUCUAGAUAUGUUUAAGGAGACACCCUGAUUUUCUUUUCUGAUCUUUAUAUACUUACACCUUGGAUUCUUAAGCUAUCGCAACAUGCGAUGGUCCACUGCAGCAAGAGUUUGCCUUGCCACAUGCCUUUAGAUUUAGAAGCUGUUCUUUAUCUCAAUACUUGAAUUGUUAUGUGGAAAUCUCUCAUUGGUCAUUCGUUGUUCAGAUACUUUUCUCAUGUAUGAAGCAUGGGUCUUUUUUUUAGAUAUAAAAUAUAAAUUAUGCACAUACAUGGGUAUGUAUUCAAACUCGAGACCUCUUACUUUAAUAACAUGUGAAACAACAGUUUCCUGCAAAAUUUUGAGUAAUUAGAGAAAGAUUAAGAUUUAUACAACACUUGGGUUUGCAUGAUCUAGUGGCGAUUAAAUGGCCUAUGAAUGAACUACAGGUUCUCAAUGGCAGCGCAUACAACAGGAAAUGCGAUGUCUAUAGCUUUGGGAUUUGCCUGUGGGAGAUCUACUGCUGCGACAUGCCAUAUCCUGACCUUAGCUUCUCGGAGAUUACAUCUGCAGUAGUUCGUCAGGCAAGCCAUUUUCUUCUCAGCUUACAUCAUUACUUCAAUCUUUUCUUUAAAAAAAGGACUUUUUCAACGACCGAAAUUAUGAACUAGUAAAAAUUUACAGAAUUUGCGGCCGGAGAUUCCGCGGUGUUGUCCAAGCUCUCUAGCGAACGUAAUGAAGAAGUGCUGGGACGCGAACCCUGAUAAGCGGCCAGAGAUGGCCGACGUGGUGGCCUUGCUGGAGGCGAUCGACACGUCGAAGGGCGGAGGUAUGAUCCCUCUCGAUCAGCCUCAAGGUUGCCUCUCGUGCUUCGGCAAGUCCCGAGGCCCUUGACAAAAAUCUGAAAUUGCAUUAUGGGGAACCUAAUGACUUCCUUUAUGUUAACCCAAUGGAUCGAUAGAUACUUUGUAUGUAUUGUUUAAGAAACCGAAAACCUAGUUAAAAGGCCUGUUGUUGUAACUUUCUUAUAUAAGUUGAGGUAUAUAAUGGUCCUUAACAUCUUUGUGUAUAUGGAUUAAUUAUUAGUCAGCUGUUGGAUUUGAUUUUCUAUGUUGUGGUGUGUGAUCAUCUUGCAUGCCAAGUCCUAGUACUUGAUAUCUGGAUUGUUUAUUAGGGUUUAGGGUUUGGCUCCUUUAGGCCCUUCCCUCCUCCUCCUCCUCCAUUGUUUUUAGUUUUUCUUUUUUUUGCUUACCAAUGAUCUUUAACUUUGUAUCUUUUACCUUUAGUAAUACAUAACAAUUAGCUAGGGUUGGGCUCAGACUAGAGCAAGUACUCUGUUAACUUAACAUUCGUGUUUGGCAUGGUUCAAAUCAAAGUUCAAUCACUCGACUUAAACUAAGCUUUUCUUGGCCGCAAAUUGGAGCUUCUGCUUUCGAAAUGCGAUGAACAAACACCUUUUCCGCUACUCUCAAUAGCCCUAUGUUUUGUACAAGACAAAAUAGUUCGACUAAAGACACGGUCGGUCCAUUAAAUUUUGAGUUGCGCGCAGGUUGUGCUGCGGUCUACAAAAGUUAUGAACUUUAAAGGCAUUGCCCGCUGCCGUGUUCCAAACCAGCAGGCUGUGCUGUGCCGCAAAAAGCAGCCGCCUUUCUGGACUGAUGGAACCGAGCCACUCCCAACACGUUAAAUUUUCGCCCCUCACAGAUCAUGAAGCUGUUUGAUUAUGACUAUGAUGAAAUGAACACGAGUUUAGUGGAGAAACACCAGAAUCUGUGAGCUCCAAUUGUGACCAGUUGCAUAAACAGGCCCUUAGAUUGUUAACCAAAGCUACAAAAGGACAUUGAUAAAAUAAUUUGUACCAAGCUUGAAUUAACCUUUUUAUAGGUCAAAAAACAGAAAGAAAGAUGUUGACCUCACUUUUUCCUUCUUUUUUUUUAACAAAAUUAAGUACAUUCUCUUUUGACAAUCUUGAUUUUCAGACAAAUGCAAAAGAGUGCAAGAAAAGAGAUUCAUAAUAUACACAGGUCAAUUUCUCGGUGUUUACUGCCGCUCCUGGAGUUUCCUAGACAUUCACAAAUUAACAGAAGGAAAAACAACUUAAAAACUCCAAUCUGAUAUAAGUCUAUGAGGCACAUUAAAACAGGAAAAAAAAAAAAUCCAAGGCUUUCUCAUAGCAAAAAAGAAUAAAAGGACGAGAAAACCUUGCCUAUACAAUUCUUUUUUUUUUCGCCAAAAAAGUUAGAGAAGGCCAAAUUUGUGAUGAGUAGACCAUUAAAAGCUAAAUUUCAACCUUAGGAUUUUGAUCAGGAAUCGCUUUCUUGCUCGACAUCGCUUUCUGAACUAUUGGACUCUGCUAGUCCCUCCAGCCUAGAACUCUCAAAUUCUUCGAGCAGCAGCUUUCGUAUCCUCUGCCUCAACUCAGAAGCCAUUUCGGGUUUGAACCAGCUGCGACCAAACUGUCAAACACAAGAAUCAGUAAGGAGAAGGAAAAGAACAAAAACACUUCACAAGGUUUGGCUUGGCCUAACCAUGGCAAGAUCUUCAGUUCUUAGCCUUUCAGGCGCCUCUCUGAUAAACCGCUCGAUGAAGUAGAGCACAAAGAGACCACAAUCAUACUCGUUUUUCUGCUGGGGCACCUGACAAGAAUAGAUAGGAAAUAUUUCAUAAAGCAGCUGGGUAUGAAUUAUAGCUCCAAGUUGAAACAUUUUGUACCAACUCAGCCAUUAAACAAAUUAGGCAUUUCUAAAUGGAAGAUAGAAAGAUUCACUCACUGGAAUGAGAGCAAAUGUUAAAGAAAACAUUGUUUACAGCGAUCUCAGAAAAAUUUAUGCCGUAAGCUUUGAUUAGUUUAGUAAAUUAAAUGGCAAUAGACAACACCAUACCACACUCACGCCCAACCGUGCUGGAACUGAUUCCAUAAACAAUGCAUUCGCAGGUAAUUUGAAAAAUAGUUCAAACACACAUAUUACUGCUUUGUGACAUCUCAUUCUUAAGUAACUCUACAUAAAAAAGAAGAACAGAAGAAAAUCUGUUGAGAGAUCAUGAAGUUGCUAAUAAUGAUAUUUACCGCAACUUUAUUCGCCUGGAUCUCACUGGGAAGUCGUUCCCAUACUCUCUCUGAAAUUGGAAGAUCUGGUGUAACAUUCUUUAUAACAUGGUGCCAUUCUUCUUCAAGAAAUCUGAAACAUGCCAUAUAAUUCAAACUUUAUUGAUUUUAACGUAAAUAAAAAAAAGAAGAAAUCUACAUAGUGAAACAAUUCAGUGAUGCCAUUCAAAGUAGCAGGCAACAAUGCAGCAGCAAUAAAGUAAAACUUGAGUCUAGAAAAUAGGCAACUGAUUCCCUAUAUUGAUACAGCAUUAAUUUGAGUUUAUAAUUUAAGAAGUCAAGGAAAUUAUGAAAAGAAAGAAACAAGAAAAAAAAAAAAAAACUGUACCAAUAUGUUGCAAAUCUGAAUUAGCUAGAGAUCAUUAAUUGUAGAUAUCCAAAGCACAGUAGUAUUUACAAAACUUUCAGGUAUACUUACCUUUUAACGGUGUUAAAAAUCGGACUACUAGGAUGAAGCCCCAGUGAGUCCAAAUGAAGUAUAAUUGGUCCUGAUUCAUCUUCUUUUGCAGGAAUACAUAUAAUGAUCAAGCUCCAGUGCAUACUGAUUCCAUGCAACCACAGAAAAUACCAAGCAAAAUACACAAUUAAAAACCAUGCUUCUAUUAGAGAAGUUGAACAGCAACAUCCAUAAAUUUGACAAACAUAAUGUGUAAUCAGGUUAGACAAGGAUGCUGAAAGGUCAGUGCUAGCAUCAGUGCAAUGCCCUUAUUGUUGGCAUGUCAAAAGGUUCAGGCAAAAAGGAUGGUAUGGGAGUUGAACAUGUGCAGCGGGACUCAAGCAAUAAGGUAUAUAGUGAGCUGAAAGACCAAAAGAAGUCCUUAGUGCUAAUAGAAUUGCAAACUACCAAGGUUCAUAACAUUACAGAUCUUUUUAUGCAUUACAGUUUUGAAAAAUUUUUGAUGCUUGAACACGCUCCAUAAUAUGUUCUUACAUUUUAGCAACUUGUUUACACAAUUCAAGAUUCUAUUUCCAUGCGUCUGCAGCUUGUAGAAGUGUUAAGGAUGAAACUAGUAAAUGGACUACUGUAACUAAUUUCAUAUGUAUGCUAGUAAAUAUGUUUCCAACAAAGAAGCAACUUACUGUCCAUGAAUCGGCAAAAAGAUGUAUGCCUUUUGGAAUAUGUUUACACCUUUCCACCACCGCCUCAACUUCUGGAAAUGUAUGUUAGCAUCACCCUUGAAAUUGCGGAAAUCCAAAUCACAUUAAUUCAUGAAGAGGAAUUUCUACCAAUGAGUUAUGCAGGAGGCUCAGCAUAAAAAAGAUUAACAAAAACAUUUACAAAGUGAAAAAUGAACAGAUAAAUCACAAAAUAUCACGUAAAUAUGUAAGUAAAAAUUAUAUACGACAAGACAACAAUAAAAUUCAAACUGCCCCCAUUCCAGAAUAUUGAUUGAAAUAGGCAACAGACAUACAAGAAUAAACUAGUAGAUAUGUUGAAUAAACAGCACUGAUGAGAGAAAAAGUAAAUUUAUUUAGGACCAAUGACCGGUGAAGUAGGCAUUUUUGUUUCUUAUUGUUAGAGCAGCAUUUAAUUUCUGCUUUUAGUAAAAAAAAAUCAUUUCCAUCAUCUGAAUGGAAGGAAAAGAUAUUUGCUUAUUUCACAUUUGUCCACUUAUUCCAUCCACUAGAGCAGUAGGAAGGACGAACAUGAAACAAGUGAAUAUUUGCUCCCAUGUGUUUUCUAACUCCAGCAUCUACAAGGCUCUGCACGAGAAAGCAUCAAAUGUACACCAUUAAACCCAUAUACAUUACUAUAUUAGAUAAUAUUGAGUAACAUCUUCACUAACACGGUCUUCGAAAAGUUGCUUAAACUUGCUAGAAAAGGAAUUAAACUCCACAGUAUAUUAUACCUUUCUGGACAGAGCUUCCUCAAGUUUUUUGUAGAAAUAUGUGUUAAAUAUAUGGUAGUCUCCCUUUGGCUUCACCCCAUGAGAUAGGGAUCUUUGAAGGUACCUGCCAGAACACCAGCUACUUAGAAAAAUGUAAUAAGGCCACACAUAUCAAAGCAUAAAUGAAGUUAAUUCUCAAAGCAUGUUUGCUAGCUGCAUCGGAACUUAUACUAAUUACCUCCCCACCUCCCAAAACACACAUCAUCCUUUCACUUUGUUAAAACUUAUAUGAUGAAGAAAAAAAUUUGGCAUGAUUUAAUGGACAAUGGCCCGAAAAGGCCAGUAUUGUGCUGACACAACUUGUGCUACAGCAAGGAACAUGUUGGAUGAUAGCAAGUGACUUGUAAAUUUGUAGCAUUUCUCCUUAACCGCCACGAGUCUCGUUGAAUCAUUUUGGGAAGGACCUUAACACUAGAUAAAUAAUUUGCAUUCCAGUUCAAAGUAAGAAAGAUGACAACAUGAAGGAGAAAUUCCUCACAACAAACCCAUAAAGAGGUACAACAGCUAGAAGGAAACACGAAAACGAAAAUAAGAGAAAAAAGAAAAAAGGAAGAGGUUCAGAGUGAGGUUCAGAGUUGAGUAUGGCAACUGCUUACAAAAGCAGCACUCAGCGAAAAGAGAAAAAAAAUAAAAGAAUAUACUUACUGAAUGUAAAAGUUCAUUAUAGGUGAUGAUAUGUAUGAUUCAGGAUCUAGACAUUUUAUAUCCGAAUAAGUAAGUUCAAAGGCUUCUGGAUCAUUCCUGUUAGAAAAAGUGGGGGGUAAAUCAAGGUAAAGUAAAAAUUUAGUCAUCAGAAAAUCAGCAUGAGCCUAGAUGAGGAUCACCUCGAAGGAUAGUAGAUCUUAGGUUCCCUCCCGGAAGUACAAGCUAGUUCAGUUAAAUCAACAGCAGCAUCUUGAGAGCUUGAUUGGCUGUAAUGCAAAAGAAAAGGCAUGAAAUACAUUGUGACAAGGCAAGCAAAGAUGAAGAGAUCUCACCCUUUUUCAUAUAUAUCUUCUUCGAUUGACUCUAUAGGUUGUACAUCAUCAUCAUCAUCCAAAAGAACCACUUCCUGAGCCUGACAUGGCAGAAGAAUUAUGUUAUUCAGGUAAGAUCAAACAUCAAAACUUCAAGUACAAAUGUGUUCGAAACAAACAACAUUAGUAGUAUGUUAAAAAAAAAGCCAAUUGAAACGUCAUCAAUAUUCAUUGGCAAGGCAUAUGAUAAGCAAUUCAAUGAUAACACAUAACAGAGAAAACUACAAUGUAAGAGAAUAAGUUAUCAAAUGAAAAUACUGUGGCACAGUGUUAUCUAGCAGAUAAGAUUGACUGAGCAAUAAGUUUCUGCCUACAUAUUUGUAUUAUCCACCAUCAUGAUAACACGAGAUUAAGUCUUUUCCUAUAAUUGUUAGAGCAUUUAUAAGAAUGUAGAAGGGACUCUAAUGAGGUAACGAAUGAACAAAACCUGCAGACAGCAAGGUCUAGAAUGCAAAUAGAACUAGCCAUCAAAUAAGAAUGUAAAAGGAAAUAGGGCUGACUAUCUAGUGGAAUCAAACAAGCAAUCUUUAACAUACUAUAUCCUGGUUAGAGUAUGUUAGGAGGUUUCUCUAGAAACUCCUAUGUGACCUUUUCACGGAAAGAAUUGCAACCAGUCGAGGUUGUCCUGUGGUUAGCUAGACUUAAUUCGGAACAGAUCGUAUGGCUUAUAUUUGAUCUAGUAGAGGUGCAGGUUGGGUUUGAAUUUUCCAUACAAACCUCAUCUAGAGAGACUACUUAGCCAAUCCCCCCAAAAAAAAACAAAAAAUGCUCUAAAUGGAUGAGGUACCACAUAAGGUUUAUUAAAAACUAACACAACAAUAAUUAAAUAAGUAGACUUAUGAUGUGCAAAUAUGUGUAGCAAAAUAAGGUGCAAAAAUUGUGGAUAAGGCUAUCGUUAAAAGACCAAAUUAAGAAGAAAAUAACAGUCCAAGCACAAGCAACAAGGAGAAUUAAUUUCCCAGUGUUUAAGUGUACAGCGGCAUGCGUAUGCACACUAACCCUUUGGACGUCAGAAUUUGAUGAACCCACAGGAUUACAAGCUUUCCUCCUGCAAGAAAGAUACUGGCAUGUUAGAGCAGAAUAUUUCCAAGUCACUGAGGGCAGUUUGCACGGUAAAGCACUUUCGCUAUAUAAUUCCAUUUGCAACAAGAAACUCGUGUUGCCAAAUAGCAUAUGUAGCAUUAAAGUAAAUUGAAAAUAUAAAAGGAUUCCACCUUCCUCAUAUCCUAUGUAAGGGGAGGGAGAAAUCACUGUUUGGGCAAGAUGUAAAUAACUGUGUUAGGAGGUUUCUCUAGAAACUUCUAUGUGACCUUUUCCUCAUAUCCAGCUUCCUCAUAUCCUAUGUUAGGAGGUUUCUCUAGAAAAUUACAUCUAGAUUUUUUUCAACCUUGUGAGACAACAAAUAACUGUCAUCACUGAAACUGAAUGAGCAUUUGUAUUACUCUAAUUACUAAGAAAUACUCACGAAGAGAAAUAAUCCUAUUGGAUAAUCUGUAAUUUUCAAUUUCUUUAACUUGUGGACCCAAAUAUAGCUAAGGUUUAACAGACAGCUCUUCUAGCAGCAAUUGUUGCCCUGUAAGCGAAGUGCAAGGAUUGCCCAUGCCGCCUGUAUCGUACCGUCUCAAGGUCGUGUUGGCACGUAGUACGAGGUUGUGCUGCCAACAUAUUGACAAAAUAAUUUUUUUUGUGUUUUUUUGAGGUAAAAAGUUUUAUAAAUUUUUUUCAUACUUAAAAUAUGUAGAUCUUGUAAAUCUACUUACAUUUGGAGCAACUAGUAAGCUCCAUUGCAUAAUAAGGACUACUUUAAGUAAAAAAGUACAAAUAAUAAGAUUUCCUCCAAUUUCUUUUAUCAUUUAAGACCUAGUGAAUUUACUCAUAGUAGUGUUUUCUUACAAAUUUUACCCAAUUAUGAUUUUGGAUUUGGUUUCAUGCAUACACUUCGUAAUAUAAUUAAUGUGUAAACUAUUUUUAUAUUCAUUAGAUAUAUUAAAACAGUAAAAUUUUCAUGAUAAUUUAAUAAAAAAAAUUGGUGUCAAUGCAUGCCAAAGUGCUAGUGGCAUGCCACUAGACAUUGGCACGCCCUGUGCCACUAUGUCGUGUCAUGCCGCUAGCACAGCAGCACGGGCAGUGCCAGUGGCACGACAAUCCUUGGAGGAGUGUGAUUCCUAAGAAAGAUUUUUAACCAUGAUAAUAGACCAAUUAGAAGUGAUUAAAAACAUACAGGAACAGACGUAAUGCCAUAAUAUAGUGCAGAUCAGUACAAAUACGGACCAUUUGAACAAAAAGCAGAUGAAACUUGGAAGAAAAGUGAAACAGUGGUAAGUGGAAAAGCUUAGGGCAGGUAAAGGGUGCGCAUCAGGCAAGGUCGAUAAUGCCAAUGCAGCAAACAGGAAAAGAAGCAACUGAAGGCAUGCGCCUCUUAUAGGUUCAUCAAGGAGGACGUAGUAGGUAAACCAGUGUAAAUAAAGGCCCUUAACCAUGCUGGAGUAUAGCGAUAGGCUUGGUUUCAAUAUAGAACUUAAAGAGCAUAAUUAUGUUAUAUAAAAUAAAAAAGGCCAGAUAUUGGAUAUGUUGGCUCUAAAGAUAAGCUGUACACAUGAUAUAGGAAUAUAGGAUAUAAUGAGUAUUGAGAAUAAGGUUCUACAAGAAUGUAUACCAAAUACACAAAAGCAGUAAGUCAUUAUUUUGCAAAGCAAAAAGCAGCAAGUAUGGCCUAGAUCUAUCUUUACAAAAUUACGAAGUUAAGAGUAUGGCAAGUACCUCUUAUUGCAACUAGCUACAUUUUUAUCCCUUCUAGAAAAAUGUUCAGAGUCAGUGUCAUUACAGCCAACAGUGGAAAUGCUCUGUUGAAAAUCAUGGGCAGAGCAUUUAGAAGACAGAUUGCUGGAAGACGUUUUGGUCAACAACUGAGAUAUUCGUCGUCCAAUCCUUAAACUUCUGGACUUAUCACCACCAAGAUGACCUAGGCCAGUGGCAGAUGGAGCCCUUUCCUGAUGAGUGAUGAUAAGACAUAAAUUACCUCCACAAGCAAUUAAAACAAUGCCUGAAUCUUCAACUAUAUAACUAUAUACCUGGCUCUCAAACUUCCUUGUAGAUCGGGAGGGGGAAGAUGAUUGGAAGCAGGAAUUGAAUACAUCAAACCAAGCUGCAAGCACACAUUAGUUAAAAAAAAAAAAAAAAAAAAAAACAGUAUUCUGUGCAUAAUUUUUGGCGUAUGUCAUUGGAUACUCAUUGUUACAAAUUUACAAGUAAUUAACUUUUGCUGCCAAUUAAAUUACAUCGGGAUAACAAUUACCAACCUCUCUUUGUCAGAGGAUUAUUAUUUGUCUAUUUGAUUUGAUAUUAUGUCACGGCAAGCACUAAAAGCCACUGUAAUAGUAAACAAUCAACAAAAAUAUCAUGGCAUUUUGUGACAAAAGCACUGUUCCAAAUCACCCAAAUCUGAAUAAAUUAUAUGAUUAGCCAUUAUUGCCUUCUCCUAUAACAAAUGAUCAUAACAUUUACGUGCGUCAUGGAAUAUAACUGUAGUAAGUUCUAGUUGUAAGAGUAUGAUGUAAGGGAUGCAAUACAAAACAGCAUUUAGAUACACAAAUAGAUCCAUAGGAUCAAUUUAUAUCAACUAACAUUAUCUCCAGAGUUCAUACGCAAUACCUUUUGUCACAUGCAUGAGUCUUCGUACUUGUACUUUACCAAUAAAUCUUUUGUUGACAUAAUAGUAACAGAAAGCAAAAGAAAACAUCAAAUAAUGCAAGAAGCUAUUAGAAUACAACGAGUUUGCCCCACAGAAUGAGGAAAUUAAGAAGUUUUUGUACCUCUCUAUAGCAUUACAAUUUACACGAAGUAACCUUUUUAGAAGUCAAAGCUCACCGGACGAUCCUUUAUUUUUGGAAAUUGUGACCCUUUCGCAUGCUUCAACUUCCUGUAAAUAAAUUAAAAAAAAAAAAUUCAGUACCAGGUGAAUGAAAUAGUUAAAAUGUAUAAUUAAAAGCACCAAGAACAAGAACAUAAAGCAAUCAUCUGUUAGCCAUUCAGCAGAAUAAUUUCCUUGUUAUUCAUGCUUUCCGUCAAAAAUUUCCAACCUCCCCACCCAAGUGUAGAUACUUGCAAUAAUGUGUGGACUCUGAAACAUACAAAGUAUGCAUCUAUCUGAUUAAUUAUAAACUUUAUUUGUAAUGGCAACUAAUAACAGACGUUAAUGCGUGAUUAACAGUGUUCCUAAACUUCCACACAGAAACUCUGUCAGUCAGUCAUCAAUGAGUCAUGAUGUAAUAAAGAAAAACUCUCCAGUAUGCCCUUCACAUUUUAGAUCAGGAAAUCAUGUUUGACUGGCAAUCCUAUGGUUUAUCUUUCUCUUUAUCAAAACUGAUCUGUCAGAGUUGUGAGUUGUAAGCACACAUACUGCUGCUGAUGAUGAAGACUCUCAUGUACAUCCACAUAAUCAAUUUCUCUCUUCUUCUUACUCUGUUCCUUCUUCAUUCUCCAGUUCUCUGUAUGUGAUUCUGCCCAAUUCCCUCUCAAAACACUUCCAGCAAAGAUUUGAUAACAAUUUGCUGCACAUGAGGAGUGUUUCUAUUACUACACAGCUUUUUUCACUUUUUUUUGGGCCAAACUCUCAAUUGUAUUGAAGUUCUAGAGCAAUUCCUACAUGCUGUGGACAAAACGUAGAACUUUAAACAGAUCUGAGCAUUUCUGUUAGUUACAGUUUACUCGAUCCUCUGCUGACUUACAAAAUACCUGGUUGGCAGAUGACUAGAAGCAGCAGUGUGGAUCAAGCAUAGAGUUCACAAUUUAUAGUUUUUUAUGUAAUUAACACUCCUUUGUGAGGUUCAGUACCAAGAUUGACAGUAAAGAGUUUCGAAAUCCGAAAGUUUUCCAAUUCAAAAUAUGGGUUAAUCCAUCUUGUUACAAAACAAGGAAUAAAAGCAGACGAUAUUUGCCGUAAUAGACGUAUUAGACAGAACUUAAGCGUCAUUUGGUAACACUAUUUAAUUCUUAUUCUUUUAAAUACAAAAUUUAUGCCAGAUGAUAGCACAUUGCAUUGCAAUCUCUCUCUACAAAUAUAGUUUGUUUGGCAAAAAAAACCCAAAACUUUGUAUUAACUGUUUUUCACUUCUUUGUUUUUCGAAUACUAUUGGGCAUUCAGUCCAGGCACCAACACAAAGUAACUAACAAUAACUAGAAUUUACGGGUAGAAUCAAUCUUUUGGCGCAUCCAAUCACUUAAGAAAUUUGCGUUCAAAAACACAAAGUAAACGACAAGGCUACCGAUCGUCGAACGAGGCCUUGACCUACUAUUAUUGUUUGUUUACAAAGUUUGACGACUUGUGUAUAGCCUAAAGUUCAACAUAAAGCUACUCACAAAGAAACUUACGAUGUAAAAAGUGAAAACACCCGUAAAAUUCAGCAUACUUCUAUUAAACAGUAGUUAAGUCUCCAUGAUAACACAAUCUUAUAAAACCCUCCUCCCUCUAUCAUCUAUCAAUGAUUCAAUGAAUCGGUCCGUAGUAUACCUUCAUAUCCCGAGCGAUAACUCGUCUCCGCUGGAGCUCGUCCUGCAACUUCGAUCGGCUGCGCCGCAGCUUCUCCCCGUCGUCGCGGAGCUUCCGACUCAUCGAUAAGUCGAGAUCGUCGAGCCUCCGGAUCCGCUCCUCGAUCUCGCGAUCGGAGAGCCGCGCCAACUCCUCCGCGUCCUCCCCGGAAGCGCCGCCGCCGCCGCCGCCGGAGGCGACGACCUCCACCUCCGGCGGCGGAGCUUCGCCACGGCCGGGUAGGAGAUCGCCCCAGUCGAGCUUUAACGGCGCCCUCGCCAUGGCCGCGGCCGCGGAGCGAGCGCCGAGCCCCUGCGUGAGCGCGACGGAGACGACGACGUAGAGAGAAUCGGGGAAGGGAGGGGCGUGCGAAAAGCGUACUUGAGCGCCCGAGUGGAGCGAAAAGGAUUGGUUCAACUAAAAAAGGAUUUAAUUUAAAUUUAAAUUAAAUCAUUAAAUUGCACUAGAAGCACUUCGAAGCUUUUGCCAAAUUUUAUUUUAGUCCUUAAAGUCUUUAGAUUUUUAUAGUGUUAAGCUAUUAUAAUUUCAUAAGCAUAAAAAAAGUUGGUAUUUUCGACUUUUUAGCUAUAAGUGCAUCUAUAUUUCUAUCCAAUUAUUCUUAAGUUGCAGUUUUUUUUUCUAUUUGAAAAUUAGAUCAUCAGAUCGAAAGUAUAAAUUAAAACAAAGCUCACUGAUUUUUAUAAUUUAUAAAUAAAUUCAUUAAAGGUAGAGAAUUAGCAAAUUUAGAUUUUUUAUGUGCACACCAAACACAUGAAGCAACACUAAAUUAGGGAACAAAGUAUGCCCAAACGAAAGCACGAGACAUACUUUUGUAGAAAUUAAAUUAUUUAUAGUGGGGCCACUACUGCUAAAAAUUUUCGGUAUUUUUUUUAAAAAAAUUCCGUGAUAUAAAUUCCAUAUAAGAAUAUCAAUGUUAGAUAUAUUUAAAAAUAAUUUAAGUUAAGAAGCUUAAUUUUAUAAAUUUUUUUAGGAUACUAAAUUAGGGAUGUCAACGGAUUGGAUUCGGGGCGGAUUUUUAAAAAUCCGAAUCCGAACCCGACGGAUUUUAAAAAUACAUAUACAAAUCCAAACCCGACUAAAAAUUCGAAACAAUUAUUUCUCUUCUCAAUAUUUUAAAAUAUAUUAUAUUAAAUCUAAAUUUUUAAAAUAUAAAUUUAAAUAUAAUAUCAAAUUUUUCAGGUUCAUGUCGGGUCAAUCAAAAUCCAAAUCCAAAUCCAUAUCCGUCGAAUUUUUAUUUUUAAUAUCUAUAUUCAAAACCAUAUUCGUUUAGUAUCGAGUAAAUUUGUUCUGUUCGGAUUCGAAUUCGGAUAAAAUUUUGGGUAUCCGUACCUACUCACAUCCCUACACUAAACAGUUGCAAAAUUAAUUCGACAUUUGCAGAAUUUGGAAUAGUCUUAUAUACCUUAUUGAAUAAAAAAGAAUAUAUUGAAUGAAUAGAUGGUAAAUUCUAACAUUAAGGUAUAGUAGAGUUUGCCUUUUUAAUUUUGUUAUUGCAUUCUGGGCGGUUGCUAAGUCCAAAAGAAUAGAAAAAUUGAGCAAUUUCACGAUUAUAGUAGUUUUAGAAUAGAUAAUUUUUCUCCACAGAAUAUCAGAGUCAAUUAUUAGUUAGAAAUGUGAGAUGAAUUUCGAAUGAGCUAGAGUUAUACAGUGGGCAAGAGUGCAACUCCCUACAAGAUGGGCUAAAACUAACGAAACGAGUCCCACAUCUCAUAAUACUUAAGAAUGUGCUUAAGUGUGACAAAUAUAUCACAUCAUAUGAAACUUAGAAUGAUUUGAACCAAGAUAUCCAAAUAGUAGGAUAGGGUAUUAGUAUAUCUGACACAUAAUUUAAAUGUGAUAAUUUGUCCUCUAAAAAAAAAAAUAUUGAAUGAAUAGAUGGUAAAUUCUAAUAUUAAGGUAUUUCUUUUUCUUCGUAAAAGAUACUAAUCGCAGCGAGAAUGGAAUUUCCACAAUGACCGCAAAACCUUUUGAUAUCAUCUAAGAAAAAUUUUGAGAAUAAAAAUAAGUGUUGUACCCAACCAAGACCGUCGAGGCCGCGCUACGAUUUUUUUUUUUUUUCCCUCUCUGACCCUCCUCCACUGUCUCCUACAACGACGUCUAUCUCGCACUUCUCGUCCUUUCCCUCUCACUUCUUCUUCGCCUUCUCCGCCGCCUCCCACGACGUCUUUCCGCCGCCCAGCUGAAUUUUUUUUUUACUAAAAUUAAAAUUAAAUAAAAUUUAAAAUUUUUUAAAAAUAGCAUAUUUUCUCCGCACACACAUUACACGUUGACGUGUCCUUCGAGUGGUACCUGCUCCCGUAUAUUUAGGGACGAGGACGACAACGCUUCUCCUCUUUCUCCGCCCCCUCUCUCUCUCGAUCCCGAUCCACCAUUCCCCCUUUCCCUUCCACGAAGCUUCCUCCUCCUCCCUCCUCCUCGGACGAUCUCCAAUGGCGGUGCGAUCCCCCCUCUCGUCCCCUCCCUACCUCCACCUCCUCCUCCGCCGCUCCCUCCUCGCCCCGACGCCGCUAAAGCUCGCCCUCCCCCGGGCGAGGCCCCUCACCGCAUCUUCCGCUCGCGCCGGAAACCCUAGGUCGGGAGGUUUCGUUCCCCGGGGGUCGGUGGAUGCGGCAGAGAACGGAGCUCCCGCGGCGGCGUCGGCGAUCGCGGGCGCUUCCGUUUCCUCCGCCAUCGAUUUCCUCACUCUGUGUCAUCGCCUCAAGGUUAGAGAUCUCUUAUCGCAUGUGAAAUGGUUUGAAUUGGAGCAUUCGAAUGAUUCAUGCGUUGUUAUCUUCGUAAUCCUAUUUGAUUUGUAAAAAGCUUUGUGGCUUAAAAACUGCGAGAAAAAUGAGAUCCGAGAACCUUUUUGAUUCCAUCACUGAGCUACUAAUGUACUUCGGAAACCUUUUUGAUUCCUUGAAAGUUCAGGUCUACAAAAUGAUCACAUCGCCAUUGUUUCACUUUGUAUAUUAGCUUAUGUAGGCAUCGUCUCUUAAGGAAGAUUAGGACCACCAUAUUUGCUGAAGUAUGUGAACACUCACAAGAGAGGCUAGAAAUUGUAGAGCAGCUUAAGAAUUGAGUAUGUAAAUGAUGUGUUUGUUAUGCGCUUACCCUUCAAUGACGAAUAUCCUUUACAAUGUUCACGUGACCGUCGCCUGUUUUUUUCCUCCGUUAUUUGUUUCCAUAGCUAGAAAACUGAGGUUUCUUCAGUUUUGUCGUUUGUUUGGCAGAAAAUAAAUAGUGUAAAAACUAUAAUUUAUACAUAAAUAAUAAAUAACUUGAUAAAUACUAAAUUAUAUUAUAAUAAGUAAAAAAAAAUAAUAUAAUUGUGUCCCUAUAUAAUUAAAAAAUUUAAUCUAAAACAACUAAAUUAAUUUAUACAUAUAUAUAUAUAUAUAUAUAUAUAUAUAUAUAUAUAUAUAUAUUAUAAUAAUACAACAAUAAAAUAAUAGAGUUAAAAAAAAAAAGUAAUACUCAAUCAAAUUUUCAACAUAUUUUAAAUGUGCAAACUAAAUGAAAAAAUUACUAAAACUUAACUAAUCAAUUUCCAUCACAUUUUAAAAAUGUAUAACUAAAUAAAAGAGUAAACAGUACCACAAUCAAUAUAUUUAAAUAUAGCUAGCAUUACCCAUUGUAUUAUUUUAUUAUUUUUUCCUUCACCUGUUUUUUUACCGUAAUUGACUUUGGUCUAGGGUGGAUGUUAAUUACGUUGUCUUGGGUAACUCGAGCUUCGAUUGUAUCUUUAUUACGGCGAACCAAAUAGCGAAAGUGGCCAUUUAUGGCUAACAUUGACUUCACCCCACUCCACUUUCACCUAGACAAACAAGCCCGUGUUCGUCACCAUCAUUGAAGCUUUCCCUCGAAAAUAUGUCUUCUUGCUUGCAUUCGGAACACGGGAAAACUCCAAAAUAAUUUACAGACUUUUACAACUAGUUAUCAACCUAAUACAAUCUCUAGAAAUUAGAACAAUACUGUGAACGAGAUAAGAUCGGACAAUAAAUGUCCCUUUUUUUGUUUCCUCUGCAUACAAUCUGUAAAACUGAUGCCUUCCGCAAUUUCACUUGCAACCACCAUUGAACACCUAGUCCAUUCCACUAUAGUAGGAUGUUGUGUUUCUAUUGUGGUUUGCAACAACUAGUGCAUUUUAGCACUAGUAUGCGUAUGAGCCAGAGUGUUUCCCAAGAUGCUCUGUGCUUAUGUAAUUUAUAUAUGCUUAUUUGUAUCAAUUGCUGUCUCAACUAUUAAUUUUUCUAGACAACGAAAAGGAAGGGAUGGAUCAACCAUGGUAUAAAAGGCCCAGAGUCUAUUGCCGAUCACAUGUACCGCAUGGCGCUUAUGGCUUUGAUUGCUGAUGAACUUCCUGGUGUGAAUCGUGAAAGGUUGUCAAAGUUACAUUUCUUCUGAGAUCUUUUAUUUAGAGAGACACUUUCCUAAACUUAUAUUUGUUUUUUAAAUUCUUUUCACUGUUAAUGUACUUAUCAGUUUCUUGGCUAGUUUGCCAUCUAUUUAUUUCAAUUGAUUGGUUUCCGCAAACUGGCUUAUAUGGAACUCAGUAACUGGGAUAGCAAGUAGUUAACAGUCUAGUUAUUAGAUGCUAAGUUAUUGAUCUCUAGAUAACAAACAAAAUGUGUUUAUUUACCCAAUUUCCUAAAUUUCAUUUCGGAAAAUUUUCUGCUUUGGCCAUUUUAUCUAGAGUUAAUAUUGUAGAUAGAGGAAGACAUAAUAGUGCCUGAUAUAAAUAUACACUUCCUUAAUUGGAGACUAUAAUUAGGAUGCCAAAUAUGUUGAACCAUUUGUGGUGUAUAAUCCCCAUGGAAAGCAAUAAAAGAGACUACCAUGUCAUUUUGCAAUAAGUUUUGACAUUACUUUGAUUGAUGGGUCCUGGUGCAUGGGAUGUUGGUUUUUACUUUUUAGGGAGUCUAGAAGGUUGAAGCAUGGAUUUACUGACAGCAGCAUGUCACUCCUGUGGGCAUGACCAGCAUGUGGUUAGUGUGCUGACCGGCUUCCUUAGAUCAGUUACUUGUGGCUGAUAAGCUGGUCUUUUGGCAGUAUGAGUAUUAGUUGGUUGUUUUUUCAAUGUUUCUUAUAAUGAUUAUGAAGUUGGCAGAUCAGUCGUAUUAUAAAUGUAUGCAAGUUUGUAGAACAGAGAAGGAAUGAUGUUCAUGUCAAAGGAAUGAUCGGUCAUAUUAUAUUAUGAAUAUAAGUUUGGCAGAUCGGUCAUAUUAUAGAGAAGGAAUGAUGCAAGGAAAGAACCUAGCCACUAGCACAAAGUAGUGAACUUUCAAAAUAUGAUGUUCAUGUGGAACCGUCCAUUGAAGGAUAUUCUGUGCUAAUAUUUUUUAUGCUCAGUUCAAUCUAAGUAUCACUUCACUGGCACAUGAAUCUUGCCUUGUGUAAAAACAGUUGGUGGAAAGACUGAAACAACUGAGUGAGAUUUUGAUGGUUGUCACAAUUGUCUUAAUAAUUACAAAAAGGUUUUGCUCUUUGUAUGAUUUGAUUCCUUUGUUGUAUUUAUAUUUUUUGCUAUUACUGUUUGUCUGUUUGCUCUGUCUGCUAAUUGUUAAUUGAUUGUAAUUAAUUUCUGUUGAAUAGGUGUAUCAAGAUUGCGAUUGUGCACGACAUUGCCGAAGGUAAUCACCAUAAUUUCUCCUUUCAAUUGAUUUUUAAUUCUUAUUGAUUUUUGAAUAAUGAUAGUAGUCUUUUUCAACUUGUUAGUUGGUGCUUACUAUUAUAUUUUGUCAUCCACUUUAUAGUACCCAUGGGCCAAACAUCGGCUUGUUGAUCUCUUGUAAAUUGUUUUUUUCGCCCUUUUUGUCAUAACAUUGCCUAUACUUAGAUGCUUCAAAUUUGAGAUGGGACUUUCAUUUGACAGCUAUUGUUGGUGAUAUCACGCCAUCCGAUGGUGUGCCAAAAGCUGAAAAGAGUCGGCGAGAGCAGGAAGCUUUGAAUGAAAUGUGUGAUAUCCUUGGCGGAGGACCUAUAGGUAUACUUAUUGAUAUUGGUUUCUUUCCUAUGAAACUACCUGCAUAGUUAGAUGUUGAGAAUAAGGUGCCCAUUUUCUGCAGCUAAUGAGAUCAAGGAACUAUGGGCGGAGUAUGAGCACAACUCUUCAAUUGAAGCUAGUCUCGUGAAGGAUUUUGACAAAGUUCAUUCUAUAUCCUACCAAUUUUUGAUUUUCCACUUUUAUACUUGAAUAUUGAUAUUAGAGAAGUUAUGCCAACCUUAAAAUGGAUACUCAAAUGCUGAAAUCCAAUCCUUUGUAGUUCUUUAUAGUUUUGUCAUCUUCUUUUGUUGUUUGACUUAGAUUUAACAUACUAUUCUCGGACAAAACAUGUCUUUUCAUUUUAUUCUUGAUAGGGAGAUUCUUACUAUUGAAACAUUUGAUUCCAGGUGGAAAUGAUCCUUCAGGCUUUGGAAUACGAAAUGGGUAUGCUAUUUGCUCUCAUUUGUAUCUUCAUUUCAUCUAUACCUUGAAGCAUCUUUUGAAAACUGUAGUACAGAUGGAAUUUAUAGUUACAAAAACUGUGCUUUUAUGGCGGGCAAAAAUUCAAUUUUCCAUGUUUAAACACUGCUUACAGACUUCUGCUCUUAUCUGUAUUAUUAAAUUGAACUUUAACUCAUUCUUCGUGAACUCGUCCUUCGUUCAGCACAUGGGAAGGUCUUGGAUGAAUUUUUCCUUUCUACAGCAGGUAAUGUAUACUGAGUUGCUCCCUACUCAGAUAACAUGUUUGAAUAGCGUAGUGGCAAUAUAUUUUCUUUUAUGUCUCAUCAACUGUCUCCGUAAUUAUUCUACUUAGAGCUAAUAAUUUAGUGUUUUUUCCCCCCCACUUCCUGACUUGAACAUCAUAUAGUCAGAAUAGCAUCGAGAAGUACUCCGUAUUGCACUUCAACCCCUUAAACAAAACAAUUACUGCCUGGACUUGGUCUGCCGCGUCAGCCAUCGACUGCCCAGCCCCAGGGCAUCCGCCUUCCACGCCUCUUCCCUGUUGAAUCCUCCACCCACUUAAUUCUCAGCCUUUGCUUGAUCUAAAAAUUACUUUCUUUAAAAGCUGUGGUGAUCGACCGAAGAAAAGUGGGAGUCGGCUGACAUGGUGAACCAAGUGUGGGAAAUAACUAAUCCUUAAACAUGGUAUAAAUUUGGUAGUUUCUUUCUUGCAGGGAAGUUCCAAACUGAUCUCGGGAAGCGGUGGGCCGCCGAGGUGGUCGCCAGGAGAAACAAGAGGUUAGGCAAACAGGCCUAACUUUUAAAUAAAAACAUCUACUCAGAAUAAAUUAUGGGCCUCGCCCUCGGGAACAAAAUAGUUACGCAGAUCACCGUUUGUACUGGUGAGCCUAACGUUACCAACAAACAACUAAAGAUCUUCAUAACGAGACGCCACAAGAAGCCGGGCGUUCACAAACUGUACGUCGAGUGCGUAGGCGUCAAGGUUUGGCGCUUUCCUUUACGACUCCCUUUGAUCUUUUGAAUUGAUCGGUCGGAAUUCGGCUUAUCUUGGUUUUGUAACUGCACUGAGAGAAAAAAAUUCCUACAUAGUUUAGCUAAGAAUCAAAAACUUGGAAUAUAGGAAAUAAGAGUUUCCGCAUUCAUUUUUUGAGCUUCAGUUUCGCCUUUUGCAGAAUUAGGUGUUUUGUGAUCCUAACUUAGCCUAUCAAUGUGUUGACUCGAAUUUAAUCUCUUCUGUGUGUCGUCUCGAGAUCGGUACCCGAUGUGAUUCAUCACCAUUUGACGAAAGCCGAGUCAACUGUGCUGCCGAUAUUCUAUGGUUGAUUGUUCCUCUGUCUAAAAAAACCCAAACACAAAAAGCAUGGUAUGUUUAUUAAGCUUUCUUGCAGCAGAUUAUUCGGGAAAUGCUUUGAAUGUACAACUUCCGCGUACAGCUGAUGCUUUAUCCGGACAGGAUUUGAGUUUGUGUGAACAUCUCCAAUAAACAAUUCAGGUACAGAGAAGCUGCAUAAUACUAAACGCAACCCACUCGCUAUUUCCCCGUUUUCAAGGCUUAGUAGUGUGUCCUCGUGGACUUGGUUUAUUAGUCAAAGUCAAAACUCUAGGUAUUGUUUUCGGAUUAAUGCUACAAUGCAUGCGUGGUUAAGAGGCAUAAAUCACGAAGAGGUAAGGAUGAUUCACAAGACCAUUACGGAAAUUUAAUUAUUAAUUUGUGUAGUUGGUAAGAGUUUGUUUCUAAGCAUAACUUUAUACGGGGUAGUAUCAACUUUGAGUUUUGGCUCGCGGAAUGAUCUAGCUAGCUAGAGCUGAGCUCGUUAACCUCAAUAGUGGAUAAAAAAGGGGGGGAGGGGGGCAACAGAAGCUCAUACGAAAAUUUGUUGAUAUGAAAUUAAUUCAAAUUUAGGCAAGCUGUGUAGAAAAUGAUCAUCAUCAUCAUAAUGUUGUUAAGAUGCUAAUAGUAACUUGCUACUUUUCCCUUUCUACUAAAUUAUCGUAACAAUUCCAGUAUCCCUGAGGUAGCGUUUGGUUCGGGAACAAGAGGGGAAUAAGCUCUUGUUCCCCCUUUUGUUCCCAAACGGUACAUUUGGUUUCCGGGAACAGUAGUUUUCGAAAAUCUGGAACAAGCUGGUAUAAGGCUGGAACUGUUGUUCCACCUGUUUUCUAGAACAAGCUUGUUCCUUGAUGAGAACAAGGUUAAUUAAAAUCUAAAUUUAAUUUUAACGACAAUAAAUUAUUAAUUAAUCUAAUAAUAUAUUUAAAUCAUUAUUUAUUGCUUUAAUAAUUAAAUAAGUAAUUUAUUUAUUGUUUAUAAUUAAUUAUUAAUAAUUAGAUAAUUAUUAUUAUUAAUUUAUUAUAUAUAAUUAAUUAUUAAUAAUUAAUAAUAUUCAUGAUUAUUUAUUAAUAAUUAUUAAUAAUUAUUAUUCUUAAUGAUAAUCGAUAUUAUUAUUAAUUUAUUAUUUAUAAUUAAUUAUUAAUAAUUAAUAAUUAUUAUUAUUUAUUAUUAAUUAUUAAUAAUUAUUAUUCUUAAUAAUUAGAUAAUCGAUAUUAUUAUUAAUUUAUUAUUUAUAAAUAAUUAUUAAUAAUUAUUAUUAAUAAUUAUAUAAUCAAUAUUAUUAUUAAUUUAUUAUUUAUAAUUAAUUAAUAAGAAUAAUUAAUAAUUACUAUUAUUUAUUAAUAAUUAAUUAUUAUUAUUAUUAUUAUUAUUAAUAAUAUUAAUUAGAUAAUCAAUAUUAUUAAUUUAUUAUUUAUAAUUAAUUAUUAAAUAAUAAUAAUAAUAAUAAUUAUUUAUAAUUAAUUAUUAAUAAUUAAUUUUUUAUUUAUUUUUAAGUAAUAUUUUGAUAUUAACUAAUUACAUAAUAUAAUUUUAGUUUCAAAUUAUAACUCUUAUUCCUCUUGUUUCAAUCUAACCAUCCAAACACUAUUUAUCUUAUUCCUAUGAACAACUCAAUUUUCAUCCAAACGUAAAAUUGGUCUAGUUCCUACUUAUACCUGAACUUGUACCUAUUUCUGGAACUAGCAGUUCUUACUUAUAUCUGAAUCAAACACAGCCUUAGCGUUUUCGGAGAACGCUGGUGAUCUUACUUGUUCCAUAGGACUCGCGCUUGAACAUGUUGUGUGCGCAUUAAACCUGAACUGAGCUUGAGCAGGACCAAUUUGAGCUCAAACCUCAACUUCUCUACGACGGGCUAUAUGGCAACACAGAUGUGCCAGUGUGAGGAGUUUCUUUUUGAGAAUAAAUAGCACGCUAUCUGUUUCAUUCAUUGAAUAAAUGAAUUAGGUUACAGAAAUGAGACAACCAGGUCUCGGAAAAAAAAAUAAAAAAAGGAGGUUUCAUAUCCAGUGUGAGGAGUUUCAUAUGGCUGUAAGUGCUAGCGACUUUUCUGAAGUCGUGAUUUUCAUCUCCCACUUCCACCCAACCUAAACAAGCCCUUGACGUCCAUUUGUCAACAAUAAGAGCCAGAGAGAUUGUAUCUUAAAUAAGUUUAUGCGAUCUACAAAAUUUAUUUAUUUUUAUAAAGAUAACUAAUAUAUUUUUAUACCAUAUUUUCUUUUAUUGGAUGUAACGCACGCGGCACGCCCCAUAUCAUUCCAUUUCUAAACGAAGUAUUUAUUACUUAGAUUAAAGUCGUUCCCUCUCCCCCCUCUCUCUUUCUCUCUCAAAGUCAUUGCUUAUAUAUUAUAUAUUAUAACAUUAAAAAAAUUACCCCCUAUGCGUGUUGGGAAAGAGUAAGCUGAUUUUUUUUUUUUUUUUAUAUAUAAUUAUUAACCCCCUCUUAUGUUAGUGAGAUCUCAGUUGACUUUUACGAGUUCGCAAAUCGCAACCUAACGGUUGUUGGAAGGCGCCAAAUGGGCAGCGCGGUUGGACCGUCCAUUCCUUCAAACCCCGAAUCGGUCGGCCCCGAACCCUUCACGUGGGCCCCACCAAAGUGGGCCCCAGACGACGUGACGUGGCAUUCCAGGUUUCCUUUUGCUUUACUCCCUGAGAAACUGUUUCCGUGAGCCGAGUGUGCCACGUCAGCAACGAUAUGUCCCAGUCUCACUAACCUUGGACAGAUCGUGAAUGAUUUUUUAUAUAUUAAAUAUGAUUUAUCAAUGGAACUACAAUUUUUGAGUAAUUUUUUUAACUAUUUGUUUAAUAAGAAAUUAAUAACUUUACAACUAUAGUUUUUUUUUUCUUUUUAUGCCUGCUUUUUCAAAAAACUUUGUGUUAGGAUUUAAGAGAGGAAGAUUUUUUAAAUCUUGUUCUCUUUUUUAAUUGACUUAGUCACUAUCCAAGACGAAAUUAAUUACGACAUUUUGCGAAAGUGGAGUUACAACUUACAAGCGAAUUUAGUGGAAUUACAACUUACAAGCGAAUUUAAUUACGACAAGCUAAAAUAAUAAAACUGGACGUUACGGCUGAAAACAAAUUCACCCUCUUCACUUUCUGUAAAACAACAUAUCUUAAAAAAUAAAGUAGAGAAAUUAAUUAGCACAAACAAUCAUCGAUGAAAGAUCAUCUGAUAAGCACCUCAUGCGUUAUCAACGUGCGAUUUUGAGAUUCGUGUCAUUCACAUGAUGGACGGUAAUCUCGCAUUGGAGGCCAUCCCCAUCAAACUUUAUUUCAAAAAAGUUCUACAAUAUUAUUCUUAUAUGUUGUUGGUUUAAUAGUAAAUUUAUAUAAUUUUUUUAGAGUGCGUCUAUGAGUAAUCAAAAGUUUUUAUAUUACAAAUCAAAAUAGAUUUGCGCUGAAGUGAAAAAUGGACUAAUAAAUCUAUCCUUACAUUACACCAGUUUGUUAGUGCACUCAUUAUCUAGGCUAAACUUUUUGUAAUCAUUUUCAAAGCAAUGUGAGACGAUUAAAAUAAUUAUAUAUAAUUUAUACGUUUAUACAAGAUAAGUGUGAGCUCUAAGCAAAUGAAAAAUUUUAAAACAUUUUAAAAUAUUUGAGAUUAAGUCUUUAUUAAUUUUGAACUAAAAUUUUUAGCAACACUGUUGUAACAAAUCAGUUGCGUGCUGGUUGAAUUUAUUACUAUAUUUUCGUGCGUAGAAAAUUUCUGUAUUGAACCCGAAGCUCAUUACCGGUUGGAUGAGUCUUCACCAUCCAAUGAACUGGCUUUGUUAUACAGCUGUAAUUUAUACUAGUAAUGCGCAACAAAAUCAAAUCCAUUUAAGUCCCAGCAAAUGCAUUCACUUAUUAAAGAGUAUCUACAUAAAUAACUUUACUUAAAAUUUUUUUACUGAAGAGAAAUACUGUGUCCACAACCAAAAAGAAAUUCUUUUAUAAUGAAUGAAGUGGGUAGCGUGCUACUUUUUCUUCAAAAAAAAAAAACCAAAAAGAAAUUAUAAAAUCUCUACGGCACUUCAUCCAAUGGUCUCUCGGCUUUAGCAAUUUUUUUUUUUAAUUCAAAGCAUACAAAUACAAAUUAGGAUUAAUUUCAUACAUGUUUCUAUAAAUAUAGUAAAUUAUAAAUAUGUUCCUACAAAAUUCAACUUUUAUAUGUUGUCCUUUUAAAAAUUAUGAUAUUUUCAAAUAUGUUUCUGCCGUUAGAAUUUGUUAGAAAAAUUUAGUUAACUAUAAGUUAAAUACUGAAUUCUAAUUGAUUUUCGACAUUUUUAUUCAUUUAUUUUAUACUAUUAUAAUUUUUGGAAGGAUAUAUUUGUAAUAACAAAAUAAAAAAUAUAAAUGAUUCUUUAACGGUAACAAACCAGAGAUUUGAAAACAUCAGAACUUUUACAGAGACAACAUAUAAAGUUGAACUUUGUAGGAAUAUAUUUGUCAUUCAUUAUAUUUGUAAGGAUUUGUAUGAAAUUAACCCUACAAAUUAAGUAAUAUGAUUAAGUGUAAGUUACAGAAUUCCACCUCAAAGUUAAUGAAACAUAACAUUUGCCCUUCAUUUAAUAGUAGAUAUAUGAACCAAGAAGAGAUGAUUCUGUGUUCAUUAUAUAAUAUUUGAAAUACAUGCCACAUAUAUAUUAGCUAGUCUUUGUCUAGCUUGCUUCUGAGAGAGUUGACAACUAUCUCCAUCCAUACCAAGCUACUGCAUAAAAAAAUAAAAAUAAAAAUAAAAAUAAUAUAUAAAUUUUUUUUAAAAAAAAGUAAAAAUUUGAAGCUAAACCCAAGGAGAGUCGCUGUCACGUUCACUUUGUAUUGGAGGAGGGGGAGAGGUGGAAGAAGAAGAGGAAGGAAAGGAGAUUGGAAAAGGAUUGGGAGUGGGUCCUUCACCAGCUUUUUUUUUUUUUUUUUUUUUCUAUGUUCUUCUUUUUUGGGGGGCAUUUGACUUUUAAUGCCCCAUUGUUGCUUCUUGUUGCAGGGAUGCUGCAUUUGGAGACACCAACCUUAUAGCAUUUAAUUCAGGCUAUUUUAUGAUCUGGGUUCUUUUUCUUCUUUUUCUUAAGCCAUUUUAGUAGAUAUUUUUGCUUGAAAAGAGAGAAAAAUUGGAUUUUUAGGGGUGUUAUGCAGUAAAAGUUCAAGCUUUUUUUUUAUUUUUUCAUGUUGGUUGGGUGAAAAAUUGCAGCUUUUUGGUGUUUAGAUUUGUGGAUGAGUUGGUAAUGUUUGGAGAUUAGGGCAAAUUUGAUCAUUGUGCACCAAGCUCUGAGUGGACUACACAUUGUUGCUACUUUUGAUGUCAAUUGAUUUCUUAGCAAGAAGUUGACAAAGAUUGAAGCUUCUGCUUCUGCUUCUGAGAUCUUCAGAAGAUCUUCAGAAGAUCUUCAGAAAUUUGCUGUUUUGCUCCUUCAAGUUUGUGAAUUUGAGCUGUUGGAAGCAGGAAAAAAAUGGCAGGUUAUGGCUACACAGACCCAUCACUUCCAGAAGACUCACCCCCCUACUCUUCUUCUACUUACUUUCCACCUCCUCCACAAACUUCUUCUUCUUCUUCUUCUCCUUCACCACCUCCUCCUCAUUCCCAUCACAAUGCAAAGCACUUCUCUCCGCCGCCGCCGCCGCAGCUUGCGAAUUCCUCUUCACCUCCACCUUUAGCCUCUUCACCCCUCCCUUACAAUAGCCCUCCUCCUCCUCCCUCUUUUCCACCACCACCACCUCAAAAUUACUCACCCCCACCCCCACCUCCUCCUCCUACAUUGUCUCCUCCACCUCCCGCCCUCGCCCCUUCGGCUUCCCCGCCGCCGUCCCCCUCUUAUACUUCGGCUCCGCCUCCCUAUUCGAACGAACCGCGCAUAUAUCCGUCCCCUCCGCCGCCAUUCGCUAUACCUCCGCCGCCAAUUUCCCCGUCUCCCUCUCCUUCCGAGGCUCCCUAUUCCCCUAUUAGUCCUUCGGUGCCGCCGCCUUCGGUGCCCCCUCCUCCCAGGCAUAGUAGUCCGCCGAGGCCCGCCAAUAAACCGCAAACUCCGCAUCGCCCAAUCCCCCCAAAGUCGAUCAAUUCUAGCGCGAUUUCGACUGUAGGGAUUGGAAACAAUGAUUCGGCGAAGAACAUUGUAAUAUCUCGCGAAACCGCGGCCACCGUUGCCGUUAUAACGGGCCUCGUGAUGCUUAGUUUUAUCGGCGCAGCUGUGUGGCUCGUGAAGCAACGGCGGCGGCUGGAAGCUCCUGUUGUAUAUGCUGCAAAUUUCGUGCCUUCGCCUUCGCAAGUUUCAGGUAAUUGAUUUCCGAGACUUGUCUCAUUUUUAGAUUCUACGUCGUUAUUUGUUACCUGAUCGAUUGAUCUAUCUCAUUUUUAGAUUCUACGUCAUUAUUUGUUACCUGAUCGAUUGAUCUAUUAUGAAAUGAUCCUUGAAAAGUAUGGAGAUUCAGCGAGUUGGAUGCUUGAGGUGGGGAUUAGAUUCAUGGCCUUAUUGAAAUGAUAACAUCUUAUUCAAAAGAUUGAUCCGUCAGGAAAUGGUUUAGGAAGUAGCAAAAUCGUUGGUAUUUGACCCACUCAAGCCGAUACCGCUGCUCUCAUUUUCAUUUAGAUUAAAGAGGAGCACUUUGAAGCAUAGCUUGCAUUGACUAUUGAAGUAACUUGGAUUAUUUUGGUUUUGUUCAUCAGAUACAACAUAUCAAAGAUCGCCGUUGUAUCCUUUCAUGAAACACAGCUCGGGAAGUUACGGAUUUCCUUACUCGCCAUCAGAUGCAGGGUUAGGCCUUUCGAAGCUGUGGUUUACAUUCGAAGAGCUAUCGAUGAUCACAAACGGCUUCUCAAGGCAGAAUCUUUUGGGUGAAGGUGGAUUUGGUUCCGUGUAUAAAGGAUGCUUUCCCGAUGGCAGAGAAGUGGCCGUGAAAAAGCUAAAAGCUGAAGGUGGACACGGCGAGCGUGAAUUUAAGGCCGAAGUUGACACUAUCAGCCGGAUUCAUCAUCGGCAUCUUGUUUCGCUAUUAGGCUACUGCUCAUCAGAAAACGAAAGGAUGCUCAUCUACGAUUAUGUUCCUAAUAAUACACUUUAUUAUCAUCUUCAUGGUGAGUUAUCUAUUUUGCUGAUAAACUUUUAUUUGCUUAUGUUCAUUUUCAGAAUCUUUCAUUGUAAUUUCCAAUUUUGUUGAUAUUGCAGGAAAAGGAACACCGGUUAUGGAUUGGCCGACAAGGGUUAAGAUCGCUGCUGGUGCAGCUCGUGGAAUUGCAUACCUCCAUGAAGAUUGUAAUAUAUGUCCUCUCUUUCGCUUUAUCGGGUUAGUUGUUCAUGAAAACACGAACUUAGUUUGUGCGCCUUUUUUCGUUAUUUCUCAGGCCAUCCUCGGAUUAUUCAUAGAGAUAUAAAGUCCUCCAACAUUUUACUCGAUAAUGACUUCGAAGCUCAGGUUAUCUUUGACCUCUGAACUGUCGAUAACAACAGAUAGUCUUGUCGAUCACCUUUAUUUUUCUGAUCUUUUCACAAAGAUUAUUGUUAACUUAAUAGUUACGUGUUAGGUUUCGGAUUUUGGACUCGCAAGGUUAGCCAUGGAUCCCAACGCGCAUGUGACUACACGUGUAAUGGGAACAUUUGGGUAGGUAAAACUGCACCUUAACAUAAACUAAGCGAAACCAGCAUGUUAUCUUGUUUGCUGCUUAAGACCCACAUGAUUUCUGGGUUGCUUUUUACCUCGCGAAAACUGAUGCUUUAGUCUCUUUCCAGGUAUUUGGCUCCGGAAUAUGCAUCUUCCGGCAAGUUGACUGCUAAAUCAGAUGUUUAUUCAUUUGGGGUUGUUCUCUUAGAGCUUAUUACCGGCCGAAAGCCUGUCGAUACAUCUCAACCUUUGGGAGACGAGAGCCUCGUUGAAUGGGUGAGCCCUCAUGGCGUCGAUUCAUGUCUCAGUUUAUCUUUUUUUUGCAUUAUAAGUUUACUCAGUAGCUAAGGAAAGUUAAUGAAACAUUAUGUUGUGGCACGGCAUGGUUCAACUGCAUGUUACUUCUUUUCGUCCUAUUUAACCUUUCUAUGUUAUAUCCAUGAACAUCCAUGAAUGAUUGUUUAUACGUCGAAAGAGUAAAAGUGUUUUAUGUUUGAGGUAAAAUAAUACUUGUCAUACAUAUAUAUAUAGGUUGAAACAAUCCUAAUCCUAAUAAAAAAAAUGAUUAGAUUCGAGUUCAUACAAUCCUAAUAGGACUCGUAUUAAUCAUUAAUUUUCUCGGGUCAAUAAUUAUAAUAUACAAUAAGCCCAUUUAAAAAUGUGAGUGGGUGAGCCCUUACGAAAGCCCAAACAAAUUUAAAAAAAAAAAAAAGAAAAUUCCAGGGGAAGGUGGCGGGGCCGCGCUCUGGGGAAGAUUAAGGUUCUAGGUGGUAGGGAUGUCGCGUGGCCUUCAUUUUCACGGCCCCAUAGCUAAUCAUUUGAAACCCAACUAGUAAUUUAAGGAGGGUCUGAUCUAAUACGUACGGGCACACCCACAUCCUUAUAAAGUUACUAGGGUUGGGAAAUCCUGAUUUAAAUCAUAUAUCCAUCAAGAGCAUGGUUCAUAUUUCGGUCGGAUAAUUUUGAUAUCCCAGAAAAUAGGCCCCAUCAUAAAUUUAUAAUUCCGUUCAAAAUCUACGGAACUCUUCUCGGCGACUAUUUGGACCACGCUCCAACACAAGCACUCUACCACACAAGUACUCCUCCUAACUAAGUCUCAUCUCAGAAAAUUCGAAUUUCGAAUUUUGAAUUUGCCCAAAAUAUCAUCCAACAACACAUUUCGAAAAUUCGUCAUUCGAAUUUCGAAUUUCCCAACCAAUUUCCAAACCAGCGUCCUCAACAACCGAAUGAAAUUCGAUUUUCGAAUUUCGAAUUCAACCCAACCCAAGUUUUCCCAAAACAUCAUCCAAAACCCAUUCAAAAUUCGAUUUCAAUUUCGAAUCCUCUAACCAAUUCCCAGAAUAUCAUCCAACAACCCAUUGAAAUCGAUUUCGAAUUUCGAAUUCUCAACCAGAAUUCCUAAAAGUAUCAUCCAGUAUCAACCCAUUCAAAAUUCGAUUCGAAUUCUCGAAUUCUCAACCAUUUCCCAAACAUCAUCCAACAACCUAUCGAUUCGAUUUCGCAUAUUUGAUAUCCCAACCAAAUUCUCAAAAUAUCAUUCAACUCAACUCAUUCAAAUUCGAUUGUCGAAUUUGAUUCUCUAACCACAUCCCAAAUACUUACAACUUAUCCAACAACUCAUCAUCGUUUCGAAUUCGAAUUUGAACUCCCAACCACCCCACCUCCAUAUAUAUCCUCACAACCAUCCAACAAAUAAUUCAAAAUUCGAAUUUCGAAUUUUGAGUAUUUCUUAAUAACUCCUCCCCUGCCCAUUAUUCAUAAAGUACGGGAACCGACAAUCAAUUCAAAGGAACUUUUUUUUUGAGAGAAGAGCUACUACAUAUAUAGAUGCUAGAAUACUUCAAGUUCAAAAUAAUUCAGGAAGGAGGCAGUGAUAUUGCCGGAGCUGCCGAAAGGAGGAGACGAUUGCCGGAGCCGCGGAUAAGGAGGAGAGAUCACUCGAGCCGCGGAAAGAAGGAGAAUCGCCAAGCCGCUGAAAGAAAGAGGAGAUCGUUGAGCCGCUUCAUUCGAAUCCAUCAACAGGUAGUAAAAAAAAAAAAAGAUAAAAAAAGAAAAAAAGAAAGAAAGUAAAAAUAAUAAUAAAACAAAAAAAGAUCUCUUUUCUUCCCCCUCUUUUUUUUUUUUCUUUUGUCCGACGAUCGUAGCCACCCAUAUCAUCUAGAUGGCUUCGGUGGGAGAGUGGAGGGGAAUCUUUGAUUCCCCGUUUCUUCGGACCUCUCAAUACCCCAUUCGAAGUCGUUGAUGAUGGAAUGGAUGAUCUACAUUGCUGCGACCAUCUCCAGCAUGUUUGGUUUGAUACUUUCGAAAGACGAGGGGAGGGGAAUCUUUGAUUCCCUGUUUCUUCGGACCCUUCAAUAUUUCUUCGAUAAAUAUCGAAUCAAAUUUGCUGGCCGAACAGAUCCAUGCCACUGUUAACAACUCCGUCGACGACAUCUACAAUCGCCGUUUUGAUCUUUUCGAAAAGAAGAGGGGAGGGGAAUCUUUGAUUCCCCGUUUCUUCGGACCCUUCAAAAUAUUUUGAAAAUAUUGAAUCAAAUUUGCUGACCGAACAGAUCCACGCCACCAUCCCCAACGACAUCUACAGCAUUGCCGGUUUGAUACUUUCGAAAGAAGAGGGGAGGGGAAUCUUUGAUUCCCCGUUUCUUCGGACCCUUCAAUACUUAUUCGAAAAUGUCAAAUCAAAUCCGAUGGCCGAACAGAUCCACGCCACCGUCAUCAACUUCGUCGACGUCAUCCGCAGCAUCGUAAGAAGAGGGGAGGGGAAUCUUUGAUUCCUCGUUUCUUCGGACCCCAAAUCAAAAUUAAAACGGGGAUUUCUUCGGACCCCAAAUCAGAACCAAAUGGGGAUUUCUUCGGACCCCAAACCAAAUCAAAUUUGAAGAUCAAAUUCAAAUUCAAAUCAAACGGGGAUUUCUUCGGACCCCAAAUUCAAUUGCAAAAUCAAUAGGGGAUUUCUUCGGACCCCAAAUCAAAUUGCAAAUCAAGUCUAUACACAAGCUUAAAACUGCAAAUUAAGUUCAUAUGCGAACCUAAACUGCAAAUCAAGUUCAUAUGCGAACCCAAAUUGCAAAUUAAGUUCAUAUGCGAAUCCAAAUUGCAAAUCAAGUCCACAUACAAAGCCAAACCUAACCAAACCAAGUCCAAAUAAACAUCCAACCCAAAACCAAAAAAAACCAAACCAAACCAAGUCCACAUACAAAGCCAAACCUAACCAAACCAAGUCCAAAUAAGUAUCCAAACCAAAAUCCAAAACCCAAAUAAAACCCAAAUCAAACCAAGUCCACAUACAAAGCCGAACGGCCCAAAGCUAACCAAACCAAGUCCAAAUAAACAUCAAACCCAAAACCAAAAAAACCCAAAGCAAAUCAAGACCACAAAUAAAAGCCAAACACAUUCCCCAAAUAAAACCAAAACCCAAACUCAAAUCAAACGCAAACCCAACCCAAAUCAAACCCAAAUAAAAUCCAAACCCAAGUCCACACAUAAAACCAAAACCCAACCCAAAUCAAGUCCACAAAUAAAAUCCGAGCCCAUUCCACACAUAAAACCAAAAUCCAAACCCAAAUAAAAUCCAAACCCAAGUCCACACAUAAAACCAAAACCCAAACCCAAAUAAAAUCCAAACCCAAGUCCACACAUAAAACCAAAACCCAAACCCAAAUAAAAUCCAAACCCAUUCCACACAUAAAACCAAACCCAGUUCAUGGACCAAAUCCCAUGAGCCAAAACCAAACCUCAUGGACCAAAUCCCAUGAGCCAAAACCAAACCUCAUGGACCAAAUCCCAUGAACCAAAACCAAACCCAGUUCAUGGACCAAAUCCCAUGAACCAAAACCCAGUUCAUGGACCAAAUCCGAUGAACCAAAACCAAACCCAGUUUAUGGACCAAAUCCCAUAAACCAAAACCCAGUUCAUGGACCAAAUCCCAUGAGCCAAUACCAAGUUCAUGGACCAAAUCCCAUGACCCAAAACCAAGUUCAUGAACCAAAUCCCAUGAACCGAAACCAAGUUCAUGGACCAAAUCCCAUGAACCAACCAAACCUCAUGGANNNNNNNNNNNNNNNNNNNNNNNNNUCAUGGACCAAAUCCCAUGAGCCAAAACCAAGUUCAUGGACCAAAUCCCAUGAGCCAAAACCAAGUUCAUGGACCAAAUCUCAUGAAACCAAAACCAGACCUCGUGGACCAAAUCCCAUGAGCCAAAACCAAACCUCAUGGACCAAAUUCCAUGAGCCAAAACCAAAUCCCAUGAACCACAACCCCACAAACCAUACACCAAACCUUAUGGACCAAAUCCCAUAAACCAUACAUCCAACCUAAUACCCAAAUCUCAUAAACCAAUACCCAAAUCCCAUGAACCAAUGCCCAGAUCUCAUACCCAUAUCUCAUGAACCAAUUAGACUCUAAUACAUAGAGUUUAAUAUCGAUUAGGUCUUAACACAUAUACUCAGGACCUAAUCAACCUCAAAUCCAACUGAAUCCUAAUACAUAUACUUAGGAUUCAAUAAACCGAGAUACGAUCCAUCUCAUCCAAUCUAUAAAGGUCUCUUAAUCGAAGGUGCCCCAAUCUCAAGGGGGUAAUUAACAGUAGAUGCUUGCAUCUAUUGGAAGCCAUGGACCCGCAAAAUCUGAUACCCACAUACAUAUAAAUAUCAAUCUGAAUCAUGAAUACUACCCCACGGCCCCGAAAAAUCCAUCGACCGUGCGAGGUGCGUCAUUCGUGGUGGCAGACAAUUUACUUGUAGAGCUCUAGGAAGCAGAACUGUAGCGGCAAAUAGAGCACCUUUCAUUCAUUUACUUUUGGUGCAAUCGAAAUCUAUUAAUGCUCAGCAAGAAUUCGGUGGAAUACAAAGCUGAACAUAGGAGUGGAAAUGGUAGUGUAAUGUUGUUUUAAGCUAGAUAAAAUUGACAUAGGUACUAGUAUUAAGUACAGGUAACAAAUAAAUUUACGCUCUUGAGUAAUUCUCUUCUUUUAGAGUCAUUAAGGAUAUAGCUUUUGUCGGAUAAAGUUUAGUUAAUCCUUUUUAAGUUGAUCUAGUUAACUGGACGGUUCAAUUUCACUUGGAGGAAUUAUUGUGCAAAAGGGUCAUAAUCAAAUCAGAAAGGGUAAUAACUUUUGAUCUGCAGCUAAUUUUGGUUGUGAAUCAUGUUGGAUGGUUAUUCCGCGCAUGUUGGUUGCGUUUUCAAAACUAAUCACAACUAAAUACUCCUCUCGCAGUCUCGACCAUAUCUGAUACGAGCACUUGCAAAUCGAGAUUUCGGAGCUCUACCCGAUCCUCGACUUGAAAUGAACUUCGAUGGAAACGAGAUGUACUGCAUGAUCGAAGCAGCAGCUGCAUGCAUUCGGCAUUCAGUUGCGAUGCGACCUCGAAUGGGACAGGUAAUUCUUAAGAAAGUGUUUUGUAACUUUACUGAUAAGUUUUUAAAAAAAUCUUACUUGAUGUACUCUGAUGUCCAGGUGGUGAGAGCUCUAGAUAGUUUAACCGACUCGGAUUUAACCAACGGAGUCAAGCCGGGUCAGAGCGAAGUAUUCUUAGAACCGCAAUCGGAAGAGAUUCAAAUGUUCCGGAUGAGGGAAUUUAACAGCCCCGACUACAGCUGCGAGACGAGCCAAUCUAGCUGGGGUCGUCUGAGAGAGUUGUAAACAGAUUCCCUUCAUCCUCAAGAACUUAUGUUCAUUAUAUUUUUUUCUUGUAAUUAGUUUUCUUUUCUUUUUUUUUUUUUCUCUUUACAUCAUUGGAAUAAUUCCCAUUCUUAGUUGUACAAAUCUUUAAUUAAAUGUUUAUUCCAAAAUUUUGGAAACCUUCUUCAUAUGUCUCGAGUUUUUUGUACUUUGAAACACAUUAUUUUGGCUUGACAAUUGGUAGAUUAGAAGUUGUUUCUUGUUGCAGUUAUUAAGACUAUUCCGGGCAGUUUUUUUGUGAGUGCACUUUGCGUAUGAGUGUGGGUGUUAAGAUUAUUUCUGAACUGUUCCCAUUACUUUUGGUUUUAGAAAUUUUGAUAUUUGCUUUGAUGUAUAUCGAUUUCUUUUCUUUUCUUUUUUUGGAUUUUUCUAUAUGAUAUCCUUUAAUUACUUCAAUUAUAAGAUGGUAUCUUAUCUUUCAUAAAUCUUGUUGACAAUAGGUUCUGCAAUUUAUUCUGCAGAGCUUUUGUAAGUUUAUGCUUAAUUGAUCUGUUCUUUUUUUUUUUUUUUUUUUUUUUUUUUUUUUUUUUUUUUUUUUUUUUUUUUUGGUGGGGUUUACUGGUAGCUUCAUAAUUAAACAUGUUUGCAGGAUUUUAGCCAGCAUACUUUGGUUAUGAUUCUGACAAAAUUAUUCUGAUUGUUGAUCUUUAAUCAGUGAAAGCUCCAAAGAGGGCUUAACAGUGAGACCUGUGUAAACUGCUAAUAAACGGUUGCAUCCGGAUCUGAGAUUUUUUGAUACGCUCAAGAUUUGACCGUGAAUUAAAUAAGAGAAAAAAUUUAUGCUUGGAAUUUAGUGGGAUUCGAACACAAGAUCAAUGAGAUAUUAAAUUAUGUGAAACAAUCGUUGUUCGUCAAAAGAUGCGUAAGUUACUGGCGAACAGUAAUAUUUGAACUCGAGACUUUUUAAUGGGCUCAAGAUGUGGCCUUGAAUUAAAUUAUAUAAGGAGUUUAGUAGGAUUCGAACAUACGUCCUUCUAUUUUGAUAAGAUAUUAACUUAUAUAAAACAAUCUAUUUUGAUAAGAUAUUAACUUAUAUAAAACAAUCGCUAUUCAUAAAAUAUUUAAGUUAUUAUAGAACCAUAUUUUUAACAUACAUGCUCUCUCUCUCUCCUUUUUCUAUUUUCAAGGGAUUGGGAAUCUUAUAAUGACAAAGGGCUGUUUCCAAGUGAAAAUCAUAAAUGCAAAACGCCCACUUCGGUUGGAACUCUCAAGUUCUAUGAGAUCCAAAUAACUAAACUCAGAUAGUUACACUGGACAUCCACUUCACUAAUAAACAGAAUAUCUGAAACAAACUCUAGACUCUUUCUCUUUCGUCUCCAUUACUUGUACACCCAAAAAUAGAAUAUAAAUCUUACGCCCACAAAAUCAAAAAAUUAUACUCUUUUUUAUAAAUUUCCGUGUGCGCACACGCAACGGAUUCAAUUUUAUACUUUCAAUCCAAAAUAUUUAAAUAAAUUUAAAAAAAUAGUACUCAAAUUGUGAGAGAAAAUUACACCAUUGAUACCUAGACUAUAUAUCAAUGAAAUUUCACAGGGGUACCUAAACUUUGAUAUAUGUCGGUAUUUGGAGGCGCGAAUUUUGUCUCUUUGUUUGCUAAGCGAUGGAACAUCGGUUGCCGACUCAAACGGAAAUCGGAGUAAGCACGCUCGAAAAAUUCGGCGGCGAAACACCCCACGUUACCGAGUUUAACAAUGCGUUAUCGGAUUCGGAAAUGAGAUUCGACAACGUCACAAAAAUCCGACCGGUCGAAUCCCCCGGACGGCGGCGUCCGCAUAGAACGGCUCCUGUAUAAUGGUGAAUCACCUAGAACGAGCCAUGGGUGCGGUGGUGGUGGAUGCGAUGAGCCUUCUCCUUCUCCCUCGAAGCUUCGCCGUUUCCCCCUCCUCCUCCUCCUCCUCCUCCUCCUCCCCUUCCUCCUCGCACCUGCGAUUCCUCUCCACGAAUCGCCUCGCUCCUCAUCUUAGGGCACCAUUUCUCAGGUUCUUACGCGCGCUCUCUCUCUUUCUCCACAAAUUUGAGACAUUGAUCCGAAUUUUUGGUGAUUUAUGCUCUGUUUUGAUGUUUUUCGAUUGAUUUGGUUCCCAGGUGGAAGAUAUCUAAUGGGGGGAGAGCGAUUAGAAGCGUGGUGUGUACGAGUGCGUUGAAUUCCUCGGAGAAUUACGACGCCGAUAGCAGCAAAUCGCCCUCGCAGGUUUCUUACUGCAACCAUUGUAAUUGAUUCUAGAUUGCUUAUGGUUGUUUUAUAGUUAGAUUCCAAGGGUCGCGGUAUCUGCUUGAGCAAAUUUUAUAUGCAUGUGAAUGUUGAUUAAUUAGUUGUGCUUGUUUUUGUAUAGUGAUAAACUCGUUUUGUCGUGUUAAAGGAAGCAGCUUUUGAUAUAAAGCUUCCCAGAGGAAGUUUCAUGGUUGAGUUCACAUGCGAUUCUUGUGGUGAAAGAACUAAGCACUUGAUAAACCGAGUGGACUACGUAAAGGGAACUGUGUUUCUCCAGGUAUGCUCUGCUGCUGAGCAUCUUCAACUCGUAUAUCUAUCUAUUUGCUGGUUGAUCUAAUUUCCAGUAGCAUCCACAGUUUCUUUUGCACCUCUGUAGUUGAGAGAAAAUAAAGUAGUCUAAAUUACUUUAACAUUUAAGGUUGACCAGGGAGGUAAUAGUUAUAGAUUUAUAUUUCAACUUUGGAUUGAAAUCAUCUAAGAUGAUAUUCUCUGUCGUCGAGUCUAGUGCAUAUGCAAGCAUCUAAUUCAGUCUUUGCUGAUCAGUUUACGUUUUUGGCUUACCGUCCUCCGAUGGUGUCAUCUUCUUUUUAUUCGUAUUGGGAUUCCUUCAUUGCGAUUUGCUGCAAUAUUUGACUAAUUGGCAAUAUUUUUACGGUUAUUUCAGUAAGUCUAGGCUAUACUAGAGAUGGUUUCGGCCGAAAUCUUUUCUUUUUUUAAAGCUCACUUCUAGAGCGUGUGAAUUGACAACCUAUUUUGUUGGAUAUGAUCUAGUCUAGAGAAUCUAAAGUUACUAUAAAUUGAAAUUCGUGAGUUUUGGAUGCUAUUUACCCAUACAUCAAAUGGAGACCAAAAUGAAUGGUGUGAAUUGAAUAAGAUUCGUAAAUAUUGUAUGCGAUUCCUCAAUUGAAAAUCUGGCCAUAUUUCUCGAUUGUAAAAAGGGAAAAAAAUCCUACAUUUGCAACUUAUUUGGAUCAUAUUUUACCGUCAAACUAAUCACCAUCUCAUUGCAAUCAUUUAAAUUGUUAAUUUUAAAACUGCUCAAUGCAUAGGCAAGAAACAUCGAUAAACCAUAAAUUUUGAUUUCUAGUACAUUAAAAUACAGUAGAUCCGAUUUGAGUGUCAGAAAUUUGAGUCCAAAUCCUCUUGAGUGUAGUUUAGGCUUUCUCUAUCUAUCUUCGGUAAUUUAAAUUUGUUGUGCUGAUUUAUUUCGCUGCUGAACUAUUUCUGUGAAUGUUUGAAGCAAGCAUUUUCAUACAUAGGUUAGCCAUUUUGAGGUUACACGUAUCUGGCCUGUCUAUUGUGCUAAAAUCUCAUCUGAACAGUGUGCAGGCUGUCUUGUCUACCACAAGUUUGUCGAUAACCUUGGGCUAGUGGAUGAGUACGAUCUGCGUGAGGAACAUGAUGUGGAUGAUGUGGAUUCCGAUGGCUUAGAUUGAUUUGGCUUCGACAUGCUAUUUGUCUGUUUUAUGCACAAUAUUUUUCCUCAAGUAAAAUACAAAACUGCUUUUCUACAUGCUUUAUCGCUUACAUUGUUCAAAGGAUACAAGUUGGGAAGAUGGAAUGCAGUUUUAGAGCAUAUUAUUAGAAGGCUUUCAGUGAGCAACUCGGUUUGGAAGGGCCACAAGGGAGAACGGAAGUGAUGCUACCGACAAACAUCAAGACGGUAUAUCCUAAUGUUCUGCAAAUUUCAACUGUUUCAUUUGAAUUAUUACUCAAACAUCUGGAGAAUAUAAUUUAUUCUUCUUUUCAAAUUUGAGACCUGUGAGGUUUCAAAUCUACAUUUUUCUCUCUUUAACAACUUUGUAUUCUCAGCCGUCGGCUUUCUAAAUUUUUGACAGUAUCACUCAUCAGAUAACUUCAUCUAUAUAUUUGGUUGCUAUUUUUUAUGUAAAUACGAAUUGUGCACUGCAAAGUAGUUGAAUUGAUUUAAUAAGACUCUUCUGGCUCAUAACAUCCACAGAGUGAUUACUUUUACUGGAUUAAGAAAAGUUUAUGGUUAUGCAUAAUACCUCAAAUUUCCAAGUUGGGUUUCAAAGUUUCAAUUAAAAAUUGAACUCAGUACUCAUAUGCGCAAUGCGUAGUUAUUAGUCAAGACCGUGGAAACUAUCUAGAAGAAUCUAGAUAUCUUCAUUGUCUAGCUUUUAACUCUCCCAAUUAGGUGGAACCCAUAUAUGAUUAUCAUGGUUCUCUUUAUAGUAUUUGAAGCACUGAUUUGAGUUAUUUCCUUUGUGUUCCAGAAAAAAUUGAGUAUAUUUAAGGAGGUGUGUUGAGAGCGAAAGGAAGUCGCCAAAUAUCUCAUCUUCCAUAAAGUUCCAUACAAUUUAUUGACACUGUUAAUAGCAAGAAUUUCUCUAGUGCUUCUUAAUAUCAGUGGCUCCAACUAAAUUUUCGUCGUCAUCUCUAUCUUACUUUUUCUGCUUCUCUACCUCAUCUUACCCAUCUUCGACAUUUUGUUCCUCAACUUUAUCUUCAUUUUUACCGUUUCUCUUUGCCUUGAGGAAAUCGAGGAGCCCUUGAAGUGCAGCAUCAGUGUCAUCACUCCUCAUCAGCUCCUCCGCCACUGCCGCCGGAGCUAUCUCGACUUCCGUUAUCAACCCUUCGAUCUCUGGGAACAAUUUGUGGUCAUUAAUGGCAUGGUAGUUGGAAGCCAACACCCUGAAUGCAUCGAUGCCACAGUAGCUCAUAUGUAUGUGCAUAUCCAUUCGUCCGGGUCUCAGCAGCGCGGGGUCGAGGCGCUCUUUGUAGUUUGUAGUGAAUACGAUGAUCCGCUCCUCCCCGCUUGUCGACCACAGCCCAUCAACAAAGUUGAGCAGACCAGAGAGCGUUACCUGUUCGAAACGAACAUGGUUAGCAUUGUCUUUUUCUGGUUUGUUAGGUUAUUAUCACAACGAGAUUAGGUUCAGGUAUCAAAACUAACCUUGUCGUUGUUUGAUGUAUUCUGAUCCUCGUUCUUGCCCUUUUGUUGGAUAUUGAUCGUGCAAUCAAUGUCCUCUAUGACGAGUAUUGAUUUGUUGGACAUACCAAUCAGUAAUUGUCGCAGGUCGUUGUUGCAUCUUAUUUCUGUGAGCUCCAAGUCAUAGAUAUCGAACUUGAGAUAAUUUGCCAUUGCAGCAAUUAAGCUCGACUUCCCAGUCCCAGGUGGCCCGUAAAGCAGGUACCCUCGCUUCCAAGCCUUGCCGAUUCUCUUGUAAUAGUCCUUCCUCUUCACAAACUUUGAAAGAUCAUCCAUCACCGCCUUCUUAAGCUCUGUGUCCAUUGCAAGCGUGUCGAAUGUUGAAGGGUGGUGCAAAUCUAUGGGGUACCAUGAAUCGUCGUCAUUCAUGUAGAGCUUGAGUGCUCUGUCCUCCUGCUUAAGUUCUUUUGCCCUUGCUAAUAUAAAUGGCAAGUAGGAGUAAAGUGCCUUUUCCUUGUGCUUCUUGUGGAAGCCGAGCUCGAAUGAUCGGACUUCGAUCUGCCGGAAAUUGCCAUUGCUCGAAGUGCCGCUGGAGGUUUCCCGGCAAACCAACUGCCAUUUGAAUUCGGUACCUUCAUACACGUCGACCAUCUCCUCCCCCUCCUCCAUACUGAUUAGCAUGCUCUUUGUUUCGUUUACCCUGCUCACCCUUAGCCUUCGCAUGUUAGUGUUGAUGCGGGUUGCUAGGUACAAUUUCGCAGCCUCAUAGAUUUGAUUGUUGGCGUACCCUUCGGUCUGUUCAAUCACGAUUGUGUGCUGCGAGGACAUGCAAGAGCGCAGAUCGUGGAUGCCGGAGAAGAUGAAGUCCCGCACUUCGUGGGGAACGAGCUCAUUGACCACCCCACGUAGGAGCAUAGCAGAGGCCGCGACAGAUGCGGCUGUGGUGACGGCCUUCUUGUAUGAUUCUAUGGCCUUUUCAUAUGAAGCCAUGGAGAUCUUCAGGAGCUCGAUGAGGAGGUGAGCAGAUUUGUAAUGCUUUUUGCUCCCUUUUUAGUUUGUUUUUCGCCUCACUCUUUUUGUCCUUUCUCUCUCUUGGGAUUUGAGGAGAUGAGUGUGUGUUCUGAUCUGUAAUGAUCUUGGAUGAGAAUAAAUAAGCAGAGGUUAGAUAGUGGGGGAGGACUUUGUCGUGGAGGAGUCAACUGUCGCUUUUGAACAUGUGAUAUCUACUAUUUCCUUGCAGUCCAAGUUUCCUGAUGUCUAAGAGGCAUUGUGAAUUGUGAUCUCCAAGCUUCCAAGAUGAUGCUUUGGCUAAAUUACAGAAACCCCUUGCACGUUAGCCCAUUUACUCGUCGACACAAAAGUUUACAUCAAUUUUAGUCUUACACUUGGUUGCUGCUUUAAAUAAGUCAUAAAUUUAGGAUGAUUGCGGAAUUUGAAUACAAACCCGGAAUGCGUUGCCAUAUUUUCUUGGAUUUUCAUCUGAACAUCUAUUUGAAGUUGAAGUCCAAAUUAUCAAAAUUGGUUGGUUUCGUGGAUAAUUUUGUUCCAUUUAUAUCAUUUUGUACUAUUACAUGUUACCUUCCUAAUCCAUGAACUCAUUUUUUCUAAUAGUCUUUGCAUUUGAAUUCAACAAUCAUUUCAAUUUUUAAGUGUAGGACCAGAACUGAUGCAACAUUUUAUGCAGGGUGUGGUUGAUGAAACGCGCUUAAGUAUGAGGUCUUCUCAGUAAUUUGCCUAGAAGCUUUUUGACACUUUGUCCACGUUGAGAUUCGUCGUUGUUGAAAGCUGAGUACACGUGGAGAGAAUAGUUGUGCCCUAUUUGGGUUAUUUUUAUUAACCAGAUAGUGUACUAUUGGGAAUAUUUUAAGUGAAUUUUGCUGGGUAAUUGAACUGGCCUGUGUGGAAUAAACUUGAAUCCGCGUCACCUUUUUUUGUUUGUGUUCGAAAUGAGAUGGAAAGCAGAUUCUUUAUUGGCUCUCUCUGAUAUCAUAUUAGCUGGUGUCUUACCUCUGUUCAAUACCGGCGAAGUUGAUUGACUUGAACUGCUUUUUUUGUCGGUGAGUAACAUUUUAUUGAUGUUCAUUUACAUUUGUUGUUUGAAAUGAGAUUGGAUUUGAUUUGUUCUAGUCCCUUCUUCUUCUUCUUUAUGUCUUGCUCGCAGGAGUAUAUCACUUGUGGUUGUGCGCUUUGGCGCUGACAAAAAUGGUAAACUGCUGCUGCUGGGCUUAGCUAUCGUUGAAAGGAGGAAUUCUAUUAUAUAUCAGUUAUACUACAUCAUCUAUUAAUAAUUAAUUAUUUUUUUAAUAAUCUAAUGGAACAAGUAAAUUCAAAAAAAUAAUUUGCUUGAUUGGUAAUAUCACAUCAGUAAUAUAUAUAUAUAUAUAUAUAUAUACAGAUGAUGAUGAUGAUGUCGGCAUUGAUGGUAGUGAUGGAUGACACCGAUGAUUGAUACUGAUGUGACAAUGUCUUAAUGAUGCUAGUGAUGGUUGGCAGUGGGUUGUCAAUAAUAAAAAGCAGCAAUUCUAAAAAAAAAUUUAUUAUGUCAUAUUUAUAUCACAUUAUCAAUAACAAAUUAAUUAUAUAUUUUUUUAAAAAUAUAAUUAAAAUAAUUUUUUAUAAUUAUGAUGAAAUAAAUAAAUUUAAAAAAAUUAUUUGAUUGGCUAAGAACACUACUUCACUAAUAUAAUUGGUGAAAUUUAAAAUUUUUCGUAACUCCGGUGGUAGUACAAUCAACCCUCCGUGGCUAGUCUUCAAGUCGACCAUUUAUUACGUGCAACGAUGGAAUCUUGAAAGCAGUGAUGGAAGGAACAUCGCGUCAUUAAUAUUCUCUAUUUUUUAAGAAAAGAAAAAAAAAGAUUUUUUUUUUCUCUAAAAAAAAAAUAAAUUACAGAAAAUUUUCCUGUCAAUAUCUAAUUUUUCACUUUUCUCCCUUAUCAUUUAAAAACCCUGCAUUUUGCUUCUUGAAAAAUGAGAAAUAUUCAUAGGGGUACACCGUGACAAAAUGACCAAAAUGCCUCUCACCAUCUUCAUCUUCUCCCCCAACCUCGCUCAGCCGUCGUCCCUCCUCUUUCGUUCUUCGCUCUUCGCUCAACCGCAGCUCCGACUCCAUUUUUCUUCACACGCUCCCCCGCUCUUCUGCACUCGCGUUGUCCCUCCAUUUCGGUGACGAUAAGGAGGAGAUCGGAGUGGACAUGGACGGAGAGACAUACGAGGACGAGGGCGAGACGGCGGAGGAGCACGAGAGCAUUUGUGUGGACGCAAAUGAAGGAGUGGGCGAGCGCGAGGCGAGGUGGCGGUGUAGGGCGGCAAGGAAGGAGGCAGCAGGAAGGAGAGGGUAUUUUGAGUAUAAAAAAUAUAUAAUAAUAGAAUAUAAACGGAACCCCAACAGAAUACUGACGGCGGGGGACCAAAGUGAAUAUUUUUUAUUUUUCAAAGGGGCAAAGUGUAGGUUUUUAAAUAAUGAAAAAAAAGUGAAAAAGUGAAUAUUAACAAGAGAGUUUUCUAAAAUUUAGCCAAAAAAUAUAUAUACAAAAAUUCUCGUUCUCCAUAAUAAUCUCUAUUUUGGUAAAAGCACCCCAAACUAACAUAAUUCAUACAUUUCAUUAACAGUUUUCGCUCAAAUUUGUGUAUAUGGAAGGAACAACGUGUCAUUAAUAAUUUAAUGAUAUUCUGAAAUUUUCAAUAACUUUUCAUUAUUUAAAUCGAGGGGCGCAAUCCAUAACUUAGUUUCUAGAAAACAUGACCAGAUAUUCUUCUAAUUGAUUAAAUGAUUAAUUUCGUACAGAUCUCUGCAGACAUAAUGAAUGACAAAUAUAUCCCUUCAAAGUUUAACUUUCAUAUAUUGUUCCUAUAAAAAUCCUGAUGUUUUCUAAUACAUCCCUGCCGUUAGAAUCCGUCAGAAAAAUUUAAUUAACCAUAGGUUAAACACUUAAUCUUGGUUAAUUUUUAAUAUUUUUAUUCCUUUAUAUUAGACUAUUAUGUCUUUUAGAGAGAUAUAUUUGUGAUGACAAAGUAAUGGCAAAAUUGAAAAUAUAAAUAAUUUUUUAACGAUUUUCUAAUGAUAAUAAACCAGAGGAACAUAUUUGAAAAUAUCAGGACUUUUACAGGAACAACAUAUGAAAGCUGAACUUUAUAUAGAUAUAUUUGUUAUUUACUAUAUUUGUAGGAAUUUGUAUGAAAUUAACCCUUGAUUAAAACAUGUAACUAAAGGAACUAAUAGAGAUCAAAUUCGGAAAUCCUUAUUUGUUUGACUCUUGUUUGGAAAGUAAAGACAUUGUUAGCUCUCCAUAUAUGUAGUUAAGUCACUAAUGGGACCGCAAAACUUCUACAUAUAAUAUAAUAUAAUACAAUAUGCCAGUAAUCUCUAAUAGAUUCUAAUAAGAUGCGUUUAGUAACAUUCAAAAGGCAAUUUUAUCACAAAUCAACUAGUGUUUUUCUCUUUUCAAUUUUACCGUUGAUUAUUGAGACUUUUUUAUGUGUAAGUUUUUGUAGUAGAUUGUAUCUAUCGAAUUUGAUUUUAAUUUUUAAAAAAUUGAUCAUCAAAAACUGAUUGUGGUGCAUAAGGCAUACCUGUACUUC
rnacentral:lncRNA from 1 species